rnacentral:lncRNA from 1 species
AGCUUGUCCACAAGGGACCUUACGGGUGUCUUCCUUUGCGAGCAGAACUUCAUUAUCGUCUUCCUCGUCCUCGGCAACCCAAACGUCAGGCGAUGGUUGGAAAACCAAGGAUUGAACGAAGUCAAUCCCAAAGAAACCCAAAAGGUAAAUAAAGGACGCGAAAAAUGAGAGAAGGGCGAUGAUGUCGGAAAAGGUGACGACAUGGAGAGCUGUGGAGGUACGGAUCUUCUCACGCCAACGGGAAAGAAGGAAAUAAACCACCGAGAAGAAGAGGGUGAAGAACAGGGCAUUCGUUAGGUGCAAGGGAAGCGGCAAUGCGUCUGAGGCUUUACCGUGAUCUUCCUCUAAAGGAAUCUUCUUCGUUGGCUUGAGAGAUUGAACAGGUUUAGUCGAAUACAGCCGGGGAGCCUCCAUACUGGGUGUCGACGGCAGCGGAAGCCCGGCAGUGGAGAAGGAGAAUAGAAGAGGAAUGGAAGUGAGAGAGGAUUUCAGUUAGUUUUACGAUUAUGGGGGUAGGUGCAGUUUGAGAUAUUGGAGUUUAGGGAGGGAAGGGGAUUAUUUAUAGGAUAGAGAAAAGAGUAGAGAGAGCGUAGUGUUUGGCACGUGUUAGUGCGGAGCUUUACCAAGUGACGAGUCAAAGAAAGAAUUUCAAGGGAAGUGUUUGGAAGCGUGCGUGCAGUGCAUGUGCAUGGUGGGGCAUUGCAUUUUCCUUUCAUUUGUUCUUUUCUCCUGCCAAAUUAUGAGAAUUUGGAGACGAUGCUGAUUUUAAAAAUAUAUUCAGGAAAAUUUACAAUUUUUUUUCUGAUAUUUCGAAAAAUAAACUGAUUUUGAAAAACCUAAUAAUAAGCUUAUUUUGUAGAAAGUGUUUUUUUUUCUUCUCGUAGGAUUACUUUUUAACUUUUUAAAUAUAUUGGUUCAUUUUGUUAGAUGAUUAAAUGUUAGUAGUUUUAUUCUUGAUUUUCAAGUUCGAUUUCUCUUCUAUUUACAUUUGUAUUUUUAUUUCAUAUUGUUUCAAGCUUUGCUUUAAUACAUUAGCUCCUCUUAUUAGAUACUUAAACAAUAGUGAUUUUAUCCUUUUAAGUCUUAGCUUCGAAUUUUCUUUUAAACACAAUUGUAUUUUUUUGUUUCACAUUGAAGUUUUUUAUUUAUUUAUUUUUAAUUAAUAAUUCUUUUAUUUAUAAAAUAAAAUAAUUAUUUCAAAUUAUAUAAUAUAAAUUAUAUUUUGAUGAAAUUGAUAUUUAUCAUUAUGUUAAAUAUAUUUUAUUUUUUAAAAGCAACAACUAUUUUGUUAUAUUUUUUUUAUAUAAAAUAUUUAGUUUCUCCACAUAUAUUGUGGGUAUGAUGAUUUCUAAUAUUAUAAAAUCAAUCAAUUAUUUCAAAUAUUAUUAUUUUUUCAUGUGCAUCGUGGGUAUGAUAUUUCAAAUAAUUUUAUAUGUUAAAUAUUUCAAUUAAUUAUUUUAAAUACAUAUACAAAGAUAUAUAAUACUAAAAUUUACUAUAUUCAUGAUAUGGAUUGAAAAAUAAACAUUACACAUAUAAAAAUUAUAUUUACUAAAGAUAAUGAUAUUUGACAAUAAUUAUUUGAUAUUUUAAAUAAAAUAAUUAUUAAUUAAAAAGAUAAAUAAAAAAACUUGAAAACAAUAUAUUUAUUAAUUAAAAAUAAAAAAAUUUGAAACAACAUGAAAUAAAAAAAAAGUACAAACUUUCUUAGAAGAGGAAUCAAACCUAAGACUUAAUGAUAAAAUCACUAUUAUUUAAUCAUAUAUACAAGGUAAAAUAAAAAUACAAACGUGAGUAAGAGAAUAAUUUAACCCAGAAUUAAUGAUAAAACCAUUAAUAUUUAAUUAUCUGACUAAAUAAAUUGAUAUAUUAAAAGAGUUAAAAGAACACGCGGUAUAAAAAGCGUUUGUUUUUUUAUUUGUUUCUCCAAAUUUAAACCUGCUAUUUUGAUAUUUUCUGUCACUUAUUUAGCAUUAUUCUGUCUUUAAAUUAUUCCUAAUUUUGGCUUGUUUUUCAUUAAUUAAUUCAAAAAGUUUAUUAUGAAUGUAUUUAAUAAAAAAGAAAUCUGGAGGUUUUUCUUUUUGCUCAUGAUUAAUUGGAUAAGUUUACAUUUUUACAAAAAACACAUUAAGACAAAGUCAGAGUGAAAAAAAUAAUUAAGCAAGAAAAAUUCAGAAAAAAAUUGACUCUUUAAUAAAAAAAUGUAAAGAUUUAUUUGUUUUAUUAUUGAAAAGAAAAUGCCAUUCUCAAUUAAUAUCAGUAAUAGUCAAAUUAAUUGGGACCAUUUUUCUUUGUCCUAAUUGGGACUAUUUUUUUUUCGCAUGUUUAUUUCAUGUUAUUUUUUAACAAAACUAAAGAAAAAAAAUUGACCAAUCUGAAUUCAAAAUAUAAUUAAAUUUUUUUAUAAAUACUUAUUAAAUUAAAGUCCAAAUUUGACGUUUAUAAUAUUUUAAUAUGCUCAAAUGAUGACUUUUUUAUAUUAAAUAAAAUCUAAUCCACAUUUUACCCCCUUCCUUAAAUUUCAGUCAGUCAAAUCACAUUAAAUUCAAAAUAGGAUGCAUAAUUAUUUAUUAUAUAUACAAGUGAUUGCAAUUUACAUGCAUAUAUGUAUAAUAUUAGUUCAUGCAGUCACCAAUAGUUGAAUAUUAACAUUUACAAUUAUUUCACUCAUUGCAAUGAGUCAAAAAACUAGUGCUUUGCCCUUUUCUUUUUCCCGAUAAAAUGUAUUAUAUAUAUAUUAGCAAUGCAAAGUAGAUAAUCUCAUAUUAAUCGAGAAAAGAUUUUUAAGAGGAUUUAAAUACAGUUUUACCUUUUAAUAUCAUUAUUAUUAAAGCUAAAGGUUUAACACAUAUGUGUUGUCAUCUCCUGCUUGACUCAGUUUGUGUUUACUAUAUGUAUUGUGUGUCUUACUAUUGUAGAAUAUUCUCAAUAGAGGAGGAAAAUCAUCUAUUAUUUUUAAAAAUUGAAAUUGUUAUUUUACUAUUUUAUUUUAUUUUAGUGUUUAAUGUACCUCCCACGAUAGUACAAGAAAAAUAAUAUGAAAUAGACGAUAAGAUUGAAGUAAUUUUCUUUUUCCAAAAUAAAAAGCAUGCAUGAGAAUUAUUCAUCACCAUGUGCUAAAGACUUGGACUGUUUAUCAAAUUUUUCUUCAAAAAAUCAUAUAAUUCGUAAUGAAAGUAUAUAUAUAUAUAAACAUAGUCAGGCCAACCAAUGUAGAAAAAAAACUAUCAUGAUAUCAUCUUUUCUUAUUGCCCAGUAUUUAUUUAGCAAAUAUUGACUGUAAUAUUGUCAUGAUUAGACCAUAUUAUUUUUGGACAAGAACAAGGUCAUUUCCACACAGGAAGAAGUGCAGUCCAUGCUCAUAGCCUGCUUAUGCAUUUACAGAAAAAAAAAAGGAAUUUAGGUAAAAUUUGAUGUUAAUAUUUCAGUGAAUAUUAAAUAGUUGUAUAUGAUAUUGAUAUUAUAGGUAGAUGAAUUGAGUUUAAGACGGUUCAACCUAUAAAUACCUUUAGCAUGUUUAUGUAAGGAAAAUAAUAUAGUUUUUUUACGAGUUUUUUAAUGAAGGAUAUUAUACCUUAAUUUCAUAUAAUAUAUGUGUAUUUAUACUAUUGUUUAAGUUUUUGAUUGGGCUAGUGUCACUCACAACCGGGUCACUAAAUUUAGUAGGAAAAUUAUUGAAACAUCCUUUCAUAAUUAAAAUAAGUUGCAUUAUUCGAAGGUAUUUUAGUCUUUUUAUUUUUAAAAAGCAAAUAAAAAUAUGUAUAUGGUGGAAUUUGAAUCCAAACUAAUUGGGUUAAAAAAAUAUAUUUAAUUUAUCACUCAACUAAAUUUCUUUAUUUUGAUAUUUUUAUACUUUUUUUAUUUUAUUAUGCAUAAUUUAUUUUAAUACCGUACAUAUUUCAUGUAUUAUUAUGUUUAAUUAGUUUCAAAUCAUACGUUUUAUUAUUUAUUAUUCGUAAACACAUAUUUAUAUUCUAAAUUUGUUGUUUCUACACGUAUAUGUGUGAGAUAAAGUUUCUAAUAUUUAUAAAAUAAUAUAAUCCUUAAAAAAGAAACACAAACUUCUAGGUAAGUGAGGUUUUUACCAAAUGACACAUGUUGGUAAUUGACACUUUUGGGUGGUUAUUGAUGGCAUUGUAAAGUCUUUUGAUCUUAACAUUAUGCAAAUCAAAACCUUAGUAUUGCACAAACAAUGCUUUUUGGAUAUUUAGAAUAAUAUGAUUAUCAUAAGUUUAACAAAUAUCUUAUGCGGAAUUGAAGUUGGUUAUUAGAUUUGACGAAGAACACUUGAUAUAUUGAUUUUUCUCUCUUAACAUUUUUCCUUUAAUUACACAAAUCCUAAGCAAUGAAGGCAAAUUUUUUAUGUAAGUGGAAUUAAUUUAUAAUGAUAAACUUUUAAUAUGAUCAAGUAACCUAAUGAAAUGAUAAAAUUUAAUUUCUAUUAAAGUAAAAUUUUUAGGCCUCAUGAUUUUAGACUUAUUGGGUCCACAUAAUUGGGCUUAAAAUCUUACAUUCUCUCAUUUGGUCUAAUCAGAUAAAACAUAAACUUUAAUAGAACAAUUGUUGAGUGCGCAUAAAAAUAAUAGAAAAUUUGUCAUUAAAAUUUGAUUAGGUUGACCUCAUAUAAUGUGGCAUAUAAUUAACAGAAAAUAAACAUGUUAAAUUGACAAAUUUUGAUAGAAACUACCAACGACAAUAAUAACCAAAUUAGAAUCUUUAAAUUAAAAAGAGAAGAUUGAAAUUUUAACUUUUAAAGUACAAGAACCCAAUCUCAAAUUCAUUACAAGUACAGGGACUAACAACACAUGUUAGCUUCUUCUUUUUUUGAGGUAAAAAAAAUAAUCAAUAUAUGACCAACAUGCAAUAAAAAUUUGUUUUAUUUUAAAUAUUAAAUUACUUUUAUUUUAAUUAAAAUUUUUAAUUUUUUUAAUUUAACAAUUGACCCGAGUGAUAAAGUACUUGCAAAUAAAUAUUUUGUGGGCAAAGAUUUAAUCAUUAAAUAUUACAUUUUUAAUUAUUUCAUUUAAGUAUUUUGUAUAAAAAUAGUAAAAGGCGAAAACAUUAAUACUAUAAUUGUGAGACACCUCACAUGCGAUCCAAUAGUCUAAUCCAAAUUGGCGACAUCACAUUAUAUUGUCAGAGUAACUCAGACUAACUAGAUAAACAAAUAAAUCACGUAUAAUUUCAAUUAAAUCACGUGUACAUGUUUAAUGAAUGUCAAUUGAUCUAGUUUAAAGUAUUUAGGAAUUGUACUUGAUCAAAUAUGGAGUUGGGAUUCGAAUCCAAACUCAUUUAUCCAAAUUUUAUAGGGAGUUUCAAGACAUGACCUUCAUGUCUCGAGACACUAAUAAAAUAUGGUCUACAAUGAACAUUUAAAUGUAUUCAAUCACAAACCAAUUCAUACUUAACUUAAACAAACUUUAUACCAAUUUCACAUGCAUGAAUUUAACAAACAAAUAUAUAACCAAAUAUCCGAACAAUUUAACAAUCAAGUCACCUCAACUUAAUGUAGUUAAAUAAAUGGCUUAAUACUUAUAUCCAUGCAAACUCAUUCAUUACUCAAGCAUUAAAACUCAACAAAAGAAACCUUAUAGGUCCAUAGCUAACCAAAACAUACCAUAUUGACCAAAACAAUAUUUAACUCGAGUUGAAUUAUUGACCUUAGAUGUUUUACAAUUUUAAUCUACUAAAAUCCUGUCCGAGACAUGUGCACAAAAACAAACAUAACUAUACGUUGAGUAUUAAAUACUUAAUGGUGCUAGCAUAAUCUGAAUUCAAAUAUAUAACAUUAAGCAAUUUAAUAUACUAAACGAAAACUUCAUUUAAUAGAUUCAAUGUCAUAAUACUAAGAUGGCAUUCUAGUAUUUCAUUUACCCAAUUUCAUAUGGAGCAACAAUCAUCCCGUAACUUUAUACCAUUUCAUUUAUUCACCCUCAUGGUAUUUAAGUAACAUUUACCUGUGCAAUCAAUUUUCUCCUCGUGAGGCAGGUUCAGACGUCACGAUAUCCAAAACAAUAUUGAAAUUGAAAGUCUUGGGGUCUCAGUGUCAUGAUACCCAUCUUUGGUAUCGCUAUAUCACUAGAGUUGACCUUAAGUUUUUUCACUUCAGCAUUGUCAGGGGUAUCACGACUUUCAUGGCCUCAAUGUCGCGAUACCCAGUUCUGAAUGAUAAUUUCUUCGAGUUCGAGCCAUUAUUGACUUCCUACACCAACUCAAUCAUAUCAUUAGGUCCCUCAUGACACCAUUUGGCCAACUUGGGUCUCAAUAUGGCAUAAAACUAAUAAAAAUCAUUAAUUAAUAACAAAAGCAAAAAAUCGACAAAAGUAAAGAAAAUACACUUAUAUUGCUUGAGAAUAAGUUCCUCGAGUGUAAUGGAAAGCCUAAUUUGACAUAUCAAAUUACGUUAGAUCACUUAUUCGAUACGAGUUCAAACCGUGUUACCCCCUUACCCUACCCCUAAUAUUGUACAAAAAAACUAAUUGCUAAUCUUCUAAUGUAGUCUCUGUACUAUAGUGCUUAAUGAUUUAUAUAAUUUAAUUACUAAAUAAUUUUAUUUCUAAUUUAUCUUUUAUUUUUUUAAUCUCGCACUCACUUUGUAAUUACUCUAUCAAAAUUUUGAACAACUCAAUUUAAUAAAUUCGAUCCCACAAUUAACUUUUUCAACAUAAAAAAAAUCGAAUCAUUACAAUAUUAUAAGAAAAAAACUUUUAAGUAUAGGUGUAGUUAGGAGUCCAUGUUUUUUUAUUUAUUUUUUUUAUAUUAAUCUAGUUUGAAGAAAAAACAAAAUAAUAAAAAGUAGCAAAUUCUAAAAAUAUCAUUUCCUAUAAAAAAAAAGUUGUGAAAUUAAAUUAUUAUCUUGAAAGAUGUUUUGGCGAUAUUAUAAGAAGUAUAAAUCAUGUUUUAAAAUUAUUUUGAUUUAAAUUUCGUCACGUGUAGACCGUAUUGAUCUAUAAUAUGUUUAGUUUGUGCUUUGUUAUUUGUUGGAGUUUUAACCAAAUUUUUUUAGUAAGUGUAGACUAAACUGGUGAACGAAAUAUAUCAUUAGGUACUAAAUGAGUAAAACAUUUUAAAUACCAAAAUAAAAAAUAUAUAAUUCAAGAGCUCAAACAUGAAUAAAGGCUAAUAAAUUUUGUGAUAAUUUUCUCUCACUUACUAUAGGCAAAAAAUUUCAAAAAAGAAAUUAUUUGAUAUAUUAUUUGUCGAAACCACCCUUUUUAUUUAAAAUUUUUAUGUUUAAUGAAAAAUGGGAAUCGACCUUUUGAAAAUAAAAUAUAGAGUCGCCACCAAUCUUUUGUUUUGGUGUGAUCGGAUCACAUAAGAAUUUGGUUAUUUUAAUAAAACAUUUUUGGUUUACUAAAACGACGAUUUUGGUCUACAAACUUUUGAGAAAACGGGUUCAGAGUCGGUUAAGCAUGAGGAAGGAUUAGCACCCUCACUACGCCCAAAAUUGAUACCGAAUCGAUUAAAUGCUGUCCUUAUGUCUAAAAUUUAAAGAUAUUUUUUUGAAAUGUGGUUCUUUUUUGUAAGACUUGAGUAACCCGAGUUGGUUGCAAAAAAUCUUCUUGUUUUGACUUUCGAAAGCUUAUAAUUCGAAAAUUACAAAAGGGUGCCCAACUAUUUGGUCCAACGAAAAACCGAAAUCCAGCACAGUAGGGCGCGAUUCCUCGAAUUUCCAAACAUUGAACAUUGCCUCACCUUAGAAAACACGAGUGAAAUUUCGAAGAGAUAUUCGAUUAUUUUGAACAAACGGGAGAUUACAACCCAACACGAUAGGGCACUAUUCCCUGAAUUGCCAAACACUGGACAUUUCUUUCGUUUUAAAGGGUUUUUAGAAAACGUGAGUGAAAUUCCGAAGGAAUCUCCGAUUGUUUUGAACAAACGAAAAUGCGCAACCCAGCACGAUAGGGCACGAUUUUCGAAUCGCCAAACAUCUAAGAUCACCUUCGUUUUGGGAGGUUUUUUAAUAAACAUGAGUGAAAACCUAAAGGAAUAUCCGAUUGUUUUGAACAAACGAGAAAUCACAACCCAGCACGAUAGGAAAUGAUUCCCGAAUUAUCAAACACCGAGUAUUGGCUUCUUUUUAAAGGAUUUUUAGAAGAAAUGAGUGAAAUUUUGGAGGGAUAUUCGAUUAUUUUGAGCAAACGCGAAAUUGCAACCCAGCAUGUUAGGGCACGAUUCCGCGGAUUGUCAAAAUAUCAAAUCUCAUCUUCGUUUUAAAGAAUUUUAAAUGAAUAAUUAUAAAACUAGCUUAAAAUGUAUUAAUGCAUUUUUGAAAUGAGACGAAUUUAACCAAAAAAAUUUGGGUUUAAAAAAAAACCAUAUUUCAUGAACUAAGUGGAAAACGAUGAUAUGGGGGAAUAUGUGUACACACCAAAACACGACAACGGAAUAGUGAAGGCAAUACAAUUUACUUAACCAACUAACGAGAACUUAAAUGACUAAGCAUAACUAGUUUGGAAAUAUAACUCAAUUUCAACCAUGCAUGGAGAAUAAUUAACAUGACGAUAUGAAACAAAUGAAUAAAUAAUAUGCAACGAAAACAUACAUGGCAUAAUAAAAAUUAUUACUAUUAGAUGCACAAAACAAAAUGCAGAUCAAAUGAGCAAUAUGGUGUAAAACUAUUUUAAAACAAUGAUAAGUACAUGACACAUACUAUAUGAAUUGAUGAAUUGACAAGUAAAAAAAAAAUUUGUUAAUGGCAAGCUUAAUAAACACACGCAAUCAUUAGAAUAUAUAUAAUAUAAAAGAAUAAUAAUGAAGAUAUAUGACAAGAUAUAAUACACAAAAUAGAUUUAUAAAACAUAUGUACAUGUAAGUUUAUAAAAAAAAACAUGAGAUUAAUAAUGAGAUAUAUAUAAAUUUUUAAAAUAGUUUCAUAUAUACAUAAUUAUUAAAACAUAUAUUAUGGAAUAAAUAUUUUUAAUCAAAUAGCAUACAAAAUAUUGAGGAAUAUUAGCUAAAAAAUGACAAUUUUCAUAAAAAAUUUUAAAAUAUGUAUCAAAGAUGAAAAGAUUACAAAAAAAAAAUGUAAAAUAAAACAUAAUCUUAGAAACAUAAUCAAUUUACACAUUGCGCAGAUAUAUAUAACAUUAAAAGUAAUUAUUCGUAAAAGCAUGUAAUACAUACAAAAUUAACUUGAUUUUAUUGUAAGUUAUAUGAUAGAUUUAAAAGCACACCUAUAUAGAAAGAAAACCAUACGCGUAGAAUACGCGAGUUUAAUAAUGUAUAGAUUAAAUGUGGUAUCCACAAUGCAUAUACAUAUAAUGAUAAUAACUUAAAAGAUAUUACAUAGGAUUAUAUGAUACAAUACGAGAAUAAAUUUAAAAAGGAAUCAUGUGCGUAAAAUAAUAUAAGGUUGAUUAAUAUAUACAUGCAAUAAAAUUAAUUUUGAUACAAAGUACAUAUAUAUAUGUAGCGACGUAAAAAUUUUAGCUUAGCUUGGUCGCUAAUUGUGGCGAUUUAUUGAAAUUUUUUUUGAAAUUUGACGUUUGAUUUUUGAAAUAAAUAGGGAGUCACCACCGAUCCUUUUUCCUAGGUGUGAUCGGACACCUAUUAGAUCUUUUAUUAAAACAAAUAAAAGGCUGAGUUUAGGUCUACGUUAAAAUCCAGAGAAAAUUUAGGGUUCGGGAGUCGGUUACGCACGAGGAAGGUAUUGGCACCCUCGCGACGCCCAAAAUUGGUAUCUUAUUAAACACAUGUUGUCUUGAUUUUCAAAAAUACGAAUUCAAUUUGACAUUUAAGUGUGAUCCGAUUGAAGGAAAUGAGAAGUUGCAAGUUUUUUUGUUUUUAGAAGGACGUCCCGUUUUUAACACGAGCCGAUUAAUUUCACCCAACAUAGCAAUGAAAUCGAUGACUUAAUGUUAAAAUUGGUACAUUGCCUUAUUCUUAAAAUUAAAAUGUAAAAAGUUUUUAAAAUGAUAGUAAAAAAAAAUCCAAGAAUAUUAUUGUCAAAAAAUGCGAACAAUGAUGGGAAUAAUAAAAUAUAUAAAAUAUAAAAUAUCAAAAUAUUAGAAUAAUAAUAAUUAAUAUUGACAAAUAAAAAAUAAAAUAGAAAUAAAAAAGAUGUACAUAAUAUAUAUAUUAGAAAUAAUAAUGAUGUUUAAAAAAAAUACUAUUAAUAAUACUACAUCAAUAUGUACAUAUAUAAAAAAUAAAUACAUGAUAAUAUUAAAAAUAUGUACAUAAUAUAGUGUUAAAAAUACAUACAUAAUAUAGUUAAGAUAUAUACAUAAGAUAACAUGUAGAAAAAAAAUAUAUAAAUAAUAUAAUAUUAAAGAUAUAUAAAUAAAAUAGUAUAAAAUAUAUAUAUACGUAAUAUAAAAUUUAAAAUAUACCUAAUAUAUUAAAAGAAUAUAUAUAAUAUAAUAUUAAGAAAUAUAAUAAUAACAAAAAAAGAGAGGGAGAGGGUGGGUGAUUUUCGGCCACAAGGCCGGCCAUCGUCCGGUCGCCGGACCGCCGCCGGCGCCACCGUACACGGCAGCCGGACCUCAAAAAAACUUUUUCGGUAAAAAUGGGUAAGCUUCCUCCUUUUAUUUUUACUUUCGUAUAAAAGAAACAAAAUAAGAUUGAAAGGAAAACAAUAAGUAAACAAAGAACUUAAAAUGAGAAUAGACAAAGAAACCUCUUUUGCUUUGAUUUUUGAUUAAUCUCCAAAAAAACUAGCUUCUCCAAAAACUAGCCUUCACAAUAACUCUUCUCCUUGAUUACUUUAAAAAGAAACCUCUCCAAAAAUCCUUUACAAUAAUUUUCUCUCCCAAAAACUCUAAAAAAAAAAAAAAUCCCCCCCCAUAUACAAAAUAUGAGAAGGCUUAUAUAGCCAUUUACAAAAUAUUUUUUUAUUUUUUAUGUCUUCAUUUGUAGGUACAAGUGAUGGUGGAGAAGGUGUGGCUAGUGGAGUUGGUGGUGGAAAAAGAGUGGCUAGUGGAGUUGGUGGUGGAAAAGGUGUGGCUAGUGGAGUUGGUGGUGGAAAAAGAGUGGCUAGUGGAGUUAGUGGUGGAAAAGGUGUGGCUAGUGGAGUUGGUGGUGGAAAAGGAGUGGCUAGUUGAGAAAAGUUUAAGUUGUGGGCUAGGUUUUUUUUUAUUUUGAUUUGGGCUUAGGGUUUGGGCCAUUGGGGUUUUGAUGUAAAUUGGGCUUUGGGUAGUUAAGAUUUUGGGUUUUGGGUUUAAUUUUGGUGGGUUAGGUAAGGCUAAAUUGGGUUUUGAUGUAAAUGGGCUAAAAUUGGCCUACAACAGCUGCCCCUCUUUGCUUGUUAUCGUGUAACGAGAAUAGAGCAAAGAUAUAAAGAAAGGCCAAUUUUGCCCGGUCUUGCUAAAUAUGGACUUCUUUGGUGCUCUUCUCAUCCAAGUAGUCUCUUUCCAGUCCAUCGCAUCUUGUAGCUUUGGUUCAAUCCACUGCAAAUUCGGAGAUAUGCCUUAUAGCUUCAAUCUGUUCCAAUGUAAUUCAAUAUGCUCUUCUAUUGCUUUAGUGAGAUAAGGUUUUGGGUCUUCUCUUCUGCCACUUUAGAAAGGCAAGAUCUGAUAUCCUCGAUCAACUCCACUGCAACUUCAGGGAGACAAAAUCUGGUGUCUUCAAUCAGCUCUAAUAUUGAUUCUUUACUCGGCAUGUGAUCCUGAGCUCAACUCAUUUCUCGCAAUAUGAAUUGACUCUGUAAAACUAGACAUUAAAAACAGAAAUUGAAAAUAGCUCAGCACGUGAGCCAAGGCUCAACUCACCUCUCGCAAAAGUAGAUUUUGAAAAUACCUCGACAUGUAAACCCAAGGCUCAACUCACAUCUCGCAAUAUGAGUUGAUUUUUGAAAAGCAGAAAUUCAAAACGCCUCAGCGUGUGACCCGAGGCUCAACUCACCUCUCGCAAUAUGAGUUGAUUUUUUUUGAAAAGCAGAAAUUGAAAAUAGCUCAGCACGUGAGCAAAGGCUCAACUCACCUCUCACAAUAUGAGUUGAUUCUUUUGAAAAGCAGAAAUUGAAAAUAGCUCAGCACGUGAGCAAAGGCUCAACUCACUUCUCGUAAUAUGAGUUGAUUUUUGAAAAAUAAAAAUUAAAAACAGAGUUUGAAAGACAGAAUUUGAAAAUACCUCGGCAUGUGACUCGAGGCUCAACUCACCUCUCGCAAUAUAAGUUGAUAUUUUGAAAAGCAGAAAUUGGAAAAAAACAGAAAUUGAAAAUACCUCAGCGUGUCUUGAGGCUCAAUUCACCUCUCACAAUAUGAGUUGAUUUAUUUUUUUGAAAUUAAAACACAAAAAUCGACAAUUCCUCAGCGUGCCCCGAGGCUCAACUCACUUCUUGCAAUAUGAGUUGAUUUUUGAAAAAUAGAAAUUGAAAUUACCUCAGCAUGUCCUGAGGCUCAACUCACCUCUCGCAAUAUGAGUUGAUUUUGACAAACAGAAACAGAAAUUGAAAAUACCUCAGCACGUGAGCCGAGGCUCAACUCACUUCUUGCAAUAUGAAUUGAUUUUUUUGACAAUAGAAAUUGCAAUUACCUCAACAUGUCCCAAGGCUCAACUCACCUCCCGCAAUAUGAGUUGAUUUUUGAAAAACAUAAAUUGAAACAAAAAAAUUGACAAUACCUCAGCGUGCCCCGAGGCUCAACUCACCUCUCGCAAUAUGAGUUGAUUUUUGAAAAACAGAAAUUUAAAAAUACCUCAGCGUGUCCUGAAGCUCAACUCACCUCUCGCAAUAUGAGUUGAUUUUUUUUUACGAACAGAAAUUGAAAAACAAAAAUUGAAAAGACCUCAGCAUGUGAGUCGAGGCUCAACUCACUUCUCGCAAUAUGAGUUGAUUUUUGACAAACAGAAAUUGAAAUUACCUCAGCGUGUCCCGAGGCUCAACUCACCGCUCGCAAUAUGAGUUGAUUUUUUGAAAAAUAGAAAUUUAAAAAUACCUCAACGUGUCCUGAGGCUCAACUCACCUCUCGCAAUAUGAGUUGAUUUUUUUUUACGAACAGAAAUUGAAGAACAGAAAUUGAAAAGACCUCAGCAUGUGAGUCGAGGCUCAACUCACCUCUCGCAAUAUGAGUUAAUUUUUGACAAACAGAAAUUGAAAUUACCUCAGCGUGUCCCGAGGCUCAACUUACCUCUCGCAAUAUGAGUUGAUUUUUGACAAACAGAAAUUGAAAUUACCUCAGCGUGUCCUGAGGCUCAACUCACCUCUAGCAAUAUGAGUUGAUUUUGAAAAACAAAAAUUAAAAGUACCUCAACGUGUCUUGAGGCUCAACUCAUCUCUCGCAAUAUGAGUUGAUUUUCCUUGAAAAGCAUGAAUUAAAAACAUCAAAAUACCCAAAACCUGUCCUUUGGUAGAACUCGGGUGUCUUUUCCUUUGAUUCAGUGCGACUCUCAUUCAAGAUUUCUUGCUCUGCUGGAGUACCUGUAUAUGUUAUGUAUGAUGUUAUCAUGAUAUGCACAUGUUUGUCUUAAAUGAUUUUAUGCCUACAUGAUUAUGCAGUGCUCCUUAAGCAUGUUUGUCGUAUGUCCAUUUAGCCACGAUUGUUGAGGAUCUGUGUUCAUUGCUUUGAUUCUCAACUUUCUCUUCAGGCCUUAUACCUGCCUUCAAGCUUCACGAGUAAUCGACGUUCCUCAGAUAUCACUCUUCUGCCCCCGAUUGAACUUUGUUCUUACUUUGAGACUCUUGUGCUUAUCAAAUUUUCAUCCAGGUAAUGCUUAACAUUUAUCUUGUUUAGAGUAUGUCAUUUCUCCAUUUAUCAUGUAAAUAAACACAUAAUGAGAUGCAUGAAAAAGGUCAGGUAGGGAAAAAUGAUAUUUCAUAUUCAUCUAUUUCAAAUGUGGCAAACAAAGCAAGUUAACCAAUGAGAGUAAAAAAUGUCAAAAAGAAAGAAAGGAUCGUAUUCAACGGAUACAAAUACUUUAGAUAUUCGACACAUGAACUCUUCCACGUUCCUCAAUCAAGAAUAUUUUCGAGUCUGGCUCUUUGCGUAGAAGAUUUCGAGCUUUCAGAAAUGCUUCAAAUACUGUAGUCUCACUGUUUGACCCGCUGUUAAAACGCCACGCUCUUUAAGCCAGGUUUACCUCAUUAGGACGCCCUCUCAGGUUUUCAUCCUAAUCUUUUGUGCUAAUCAAGACGCCUUUUGCGGGUUUUCGCCUUGAUCCCUCUUUUUUUUUGGAUGCCCUUUUCGGGUUUUCAUCUCAAGCAUAAUAUUUCUUCACAGCAUCUGAGUUCACUGGAUUCGGUAACUUCUUUCCAUCCAUCUUGGUAAGGAUCAAAGCUCCUCCUGAAAAUUCCUUCUUUACGACGUAUGGUCCUUCCCAAUUUGGUGCCUAUUUUCCUCGCAGGUCCUUUUGUAUUGGGAGAAUCUUCCUCAGUACGAGUUCUCUUUCGUGGAAUUCUCUUGGCCAUACUUUCUUGUCAUGGGCCGCGAUCAUUCUCUUCUGGUACAUCUGCCCAUGACAAAUUGCUCUUAGACAUUUUUCUCCGAUGAGGUUCAACUGAUCAUAUCGAUCUCGAACCCAUUCUGCUUCUUCUAACUUUAAUUCCAUUAAGACUCGCAGGGAGAGGAUCUCAACCUCAAUAGGUAGCACAGCUUCCAUUCCGUAAGCCAGAGAGAAAGGAGUUGCUCCCGUAGAUGUUCGCACAGAUGUGCGAUAUGCAAACAAAGCAAAUGGAAGCUUCUCGUGCCAAUCUUUAUAUGUUUCAGUUAUUUUCCCAAUGAUCCUCUUAAUAUUUUUAUUGGCUGCUUCAACAGCCCCGUUCAUCUUUGGGCGAUAGGGCGAGGAGUUAUGAUGCUUUAUUUGGAACUGCUCCCACACUUCUUUCAUCAUCUUAUUGUUCAGAUUCAUGACAUUAUCUGAAAUGAUUCUUUCAGGCAAACCAUACCGGUAAAUGAUUUCCUUUUUCAAAAACCUGCAAACUGCAGUCCUCGUCCCAUUGGCAAACGAAGCGGCUUCUAUCCAUUUUGUGAAGUAAUCGAUGACCACAAAAACGAAUCGAUGUCCAUUUGAUUCUUUUGGAGAAAUUGGCCCUAUGACAUCCAUGCCCCACAUAGAAAAAGGCCACGGAGAAGUCAUGACAUGAAGGGGUGAAGGGGCUACAUGAAUUUUAUCGCUGUAGAUUUGACAUUUGUGGCAUUUUCUGGCAAAAUUGAUGCAGUCAUUUUCCAUUGUCAGCCAAUAAUAACCGAGUCUCAUGAUCUUUCUGGCCAUAUUGAAACCAUUGGCAUGCAUUCCGUAAAUUCCCUCAUAGACCUCUUCAAGUAUUUUUCUGGCUUCAACAUCAUCCACACAUCUCAAAAGCAUCUGAUCCUUUCCUCUUUUAUACAGGAUAUCCCCAUCAAGAACAAAUCCCGCUGCCAUUCUUCUAAUUGUUCUUUUAUCGUUCUCAUUCGCUUGUUUGGGAUACCUUUGAUUCUUGAUAUAUUCUAAGAUAUCAUGGAACCAAGGUCGUCCGUCUACUUUUUUCUCAAUGCUACAACAGUGUGCAGGGACCUCGUAUAUGCUCAUUUUGAGGGGCAUUAUUUCUACUUCUCUACUUGCUUUGAACAUUGAAGCCAAAGUGGCUAGGGCAUCAGCCAGUUGGUUCUCUUCUCGUGGGAAGUAAUGAAAAGUUAUUUCUUUAAAUUCCUUGAUCAAUCCAGCCACUAAAUCGCUGUACUUAAUCAAUUUUGAGUCCCUCACUUCCCGCUCUCCACAGAUUUGGUAAAUCACUAGGGCUGAGUCCCCGUACACCUCCAAGAUCUCGAUGUUUCGUUCGAUAGCUGCACGAAGCCCCAUGAUACAGGCCUCAUAUUCUGUGAUAUUAUUGGUACAGAAGAAGUUCAGUCUUGCAGUGAACGGAUAAUGAUUCCCGUCUGGUGAUACCAGGAUUGCUCCAAUUCCAUGCCCUAAAGCAUUUGACGCACCAUCAAAGCACAUCUUCCAUGACUUCUCUUUUGAUGACUCGGAUUCCAUUUCUGUGAUGCACAUUAAGUCUUCGUCUGGGAAAUCAAAUUUCAAGGGCUCAUAUUCCUCCGUCGUUCGAGUCGCUAAGAAAUCAGCUAUUGCGCUCCCUUUUAUCGACUUCUGACUUACAUAGGCAAUGUCAUAUUCUGAUAGGAGGAUCUGCCAUCGUGCCAUUCUUCCUGAGAGUGCCGGUGAUUCCAUCAUGUAUUUUAUUGGGUCUAGCUUUGAAAUUAGCCAUGUCGUGUGAUACAACAUAUAUUGUCUGAGUCUCCGAGCUACCCAAACCAGAGCGCAACAGUAUUUUUCAAUGGACGAAUACUUUGCCUCAUAUUCAAUGAACUUUUUACUGAGGUAGUAGAUCGCCUUUUCUUUCUUUCCUGACUCGUCGUGUUGCCCCAGUACGCAACCCAUUGAAUUUUCAAACACAGUUAAAUACAAUAUCAAUGGUCUUCCCGGAGUUGGUGGUACUAGCACUGGAGGACUAGACAAAUAUUGCUCUAUUUUAUCAAAGGCCACCUGGCAUUCCUCAUUCCAUUCUCCAGGGUUAUGUUUUCGAAGAAGUCGAAAGAUUGGGUCGCAUUGGUUGGUAAGCUGAGCGAUAAAUCGGGUGAUGUAAUUUAAUCUCCCUAAAAAUCCUCUAACUUCCUUUUGCAUGCGCGGAGACGGUAACUCUUGAAUGGCUUUUAUUUUAUCUGGAUCAACCUCGAUACCUCUUUCACUGACAAUGAAGCCUAGCAACUUCCCCGAGGUAGCCCCAAACGUAAAUUUGGCUGGAUUGAGCUUUAACUGGAACUUUCUCAGCCUGUCGAACAACUUCUUGAGAUUCACUACAUGCUCUUCUUCCCCUCGGGAUUUAGUAAUCAUAUCGUCGAUGUAGACCUCUAUUUCUUUAUGCAUCAUGUCAUAGAAUAACGUCACCAUAGCCCUUUGAUAUGUUGCCCCAGCAUUCUUUAACCCGAAUGGCAUCACCUUGUAGCAGAACGUUCCCCACAUUGUUAUGAAGGUAGUUUCUCCAUAUCCUCAGGGGCCAUCUUGAUCUGAUUAUACCCCGAGAAUCCAUCCAUGAAAGAAAAUAAUGAAUGUUUUGUUGUGUCGUCCACCAACGUAUCAAUAUGUGGCAAGGGAAAAUUAUCUUUUGGGCUUGCUCGAUUCAGGUCACUGUAAUCCACGCACAUUCGUACUUUGCCAUCUUUCUUUGGUACCGGGACUAUGUUAGCCACCCAUUCUGGAUAUUUGGAGGCUUGUAGGAAGCCAGCAUCAAAUUGCUUCUUGACUUCCUCUUUUAUUUUCAACAGCAUUUCGAGUCUCAUCCGUCUUAAUUUUUGCUGGAUAGGCUUGCAUUCUGGCUUUAAUGGGAGCUUGUGGACCACUAAAUCUUCAUAUAGCCCUGGCAUAUCCUGGUAUGACCAUGCAAAAACAUCUUUGUACUCGCGGAGCAGAGCGAUCAAAUUAUGCCUAGUGCUCUCUGAAAUAGAAGUCCCAAUUUUCACUUCUUGUUUCCUUUCUUCAGUGCCCAAGUUUAUUGUUUCCACAGAUUCUUCAUGAGGCAAAAUCUGUUUAUCCUCUUGUUCCACCAUUCUUAACAAUUCAGGAGAUGAGACAUAGUCUUCAGCAUUUUCUUCGGCUUCGAAUUCUCCUAAACAAACAGCCUUCUCAAAAUCGAUUUCAGGACUCGUAACGGGUUUGUUCAUGCCAUUGAUAUCUGAGCACCUGAAAGUUGAAUGGAAAAGGAAACUAUAGAGGGGCAUCCAAGUAUUGGAACCAACAAACGAAAUGUUUUGGCAUGGUAUGAGGCAAAUGUACAGAUAGGCUAUGAAAUGAGGAGAUGAUUAUGAAAUUAGUGAUAAUGCGAAAGAUCGUGAUAAAAUGCAUCUUCAUUGAUAUUCAUUUAAAUGAUAAAGAGUGAAUGCAAGCUCUUACAAAAGAGUUCUAUUAUAUCUAAGGACACAAUAGAGGGUUAAUGUUUGAGCAUUACUCUGAAGACUUAUAAACUACAAGAAGGUCCUCGGCAGUCCAAUUGUUCAACAUGAAACCAGGAGGACAAGGGUGUAUCCUCGAGACAUCUUUACUCACAUCAGCCCCUUUGUCAAUAACAUUUAUACUGACAUUUUGAAGACCCUUUUCAAUUAACCAUAGCGUGUUUCGUGGACCAUCUUGUCCAGGGUACAUCAUUCCCGCAGAUGUAAAUGUUUUUGACAAAGGAGGGUACUCUAUUGGUUCCCAUUCUGGUUCUCGGCCCAAAGUUCUUGCAAUCCUUCUUUCCUGAUCUUUUUUCCACUGUCUUCUUCUUUGACGCAUGUCAGGCUAGAACCCCAAACCGUAUCGGGCCCUGUGGUGCACUGGCUUUAAAGCCCUGACUAUUCUUUGCAGAUAUCUCCCUAAACCUCUUCUCGCUCGAGCUCCCUUUCCUACGGUCAAUUUGACACCUAUUCUAGUAUUUCUUGACAGUUUUGGCACCAGAAUUCUGUUUCUCUCAACAACAAAAGUGGCAUUGACGAAUUCAAGGGAUCGGAAGGAACAUUCUAAUGCAUCUUUGUUCACUUCCAAGUACGGUGCAUCGGCAGAGACGGAUGCGACAAUGUCUUCUUCUCCCUUGACAGUGACCAAACAACCGUCCAUGAUAAAUUUCACCUUUUGAUGGAGGGAUGAUGGGACUACUUCAGCAGAAUGGAUCCAGGGUCUUCCCAAAAGGCAGUUAUAAGAGGGUGUAAUGUCCAUGACUUGGAACUUGACAUCAUAAAUGUAAGGGCCCACUUCCAAAGGGAUUUCGAUCUUUCCCAUGACUUCGCGCCUCGUCCCGUCGAAUGCCCUUACCGUGGAAUGACAGGGCCUUAAGUAGGACAAAUCCAUCGGUAUUCUAGAAAGCGUGGCCAAUGGCAUAACAUUUAACACUGACCCAUUAUCGAUGAGUACGUUCGGUAUUAUGUAGCCCUUGCAGUGAGUCGUGAUAUGUAGCGCUUUCACCGAGCCUCUACCAUUUGGCGGUAUCUCAUCAUCACUAAAAGAGAUGAAAUUAUCUGCAUUUAGAUUAUUUACCCACCUAUCAAGCUUCUCAAUGGAUAUGUUGUUGGCCACAUAAGCUUGAUUUAACACCUUCAAUAAAGUAUUCCGGUGUGGCUCUGAAUUUAACAGUAGAGAUAAAACUGAGAUUCGUGCUGGCUGCUUACUCAAUUGUUCCACCAUACUAUACUCGCUGUGCUUGAUAAAUUUCAAGAAUUCUUGAGCUUCUUCCUCAUUCACAGGCUUUUUGGUUUCUUGCACGGGUGGAAUUUCUUGCUCGACUUCGACUUCGUGCAUCACUGCUUUUCCUUUCUGUUUCAAGUCACUGUUCUAUUUUAUCUCCUUCAAAUAACAUCUUCCACUACGAGUGAAAUGACCUACUUCCCCGACGCUUCCAGUUAUGGCUUUGGGUUUUUCAUCUUCAGGUGUGACGAUAUUAACGUCAUAUUUCCAUGGUACUGUUUUAUUGUCCUUGUAAGGGAAAGGAGACGGUACUUAAAUUAUCAUUUUUGAUUUCACCAGUUCCUUCCUUGCAUCGUAAUAAAUUACGAAUGGUCGAUCGGCGCUAUACGGACAACCUGACGAUUGAUUGUCAGAGGCACAUACUUCUUUCUCAUUGGCCCCUCCUUCAUUAAUGAUCUCAAUCUCCUUAUUAUCUAUCCGGUCUUGCAGUAACCUUUUAAAUUCCUCACAUGAUUGAAUGUCGUGCCCUACAAUUCCAUGAAAAUCAUAAAGAACCUGACAUUCUUUUCUGAGAUUAUCGCCGGGGCGACAGAGCAAUCCAUUCUUAACCAGUGCUUCUCAGAUUUUCUGCAGAGGCGUCCUUAUUUCUGAAACACAUCUUCUGACUUGCCAUUCAUCUUCUUUCCCCACUGUGCUUACAUUCCCUUCAGUAUGGUUAGGGAACGGGUUCCCAGUUACAUUACUGGUACUAUCGAAUCAUAGGAUACCCGCAUCAAUUAGUCCUUGAACUCUCCUCUUAAAGGCUAGGCAAUUUUCCGUGGAAUGUCCCUGGUUUCCCGCAUGGUAUUCACAACUAGCGUUUAGGUCGUACCAUUUCGGGUAUGGGGGCCUCAAGGGUGCCAUAUAAUGCGGGGAUAUCAAUUGCUUCUCCAAAAAUUUUGGGUACAGUUCCCCAUAUGACGCAGGAAUAGGGGUAAAUUGUAGUCUUUCGGAAUUGGGUUUUACUGGCCUCUGCUCAUUUUUGGGUUGACCUUGGGCGGGUAUUAUAUUUUGUGGGAAUGUGGUGGUUGGUCUCGGGUUACUUGUGGCGUAAACGGGGUAAGAAGAGUAAGGAGGCGGUGUUUGGUAGUAAGGGGUUUGAGGAGGGUAAUAGAAAUUCGGAGGUGGAUAAUUUCGAGGUCGAGGUUGGUUUGGAUAUGGGUUAGGGGCAUAACGGCUUCCCAUUCCCACCAUGUGGGUUUCUGGUUCUUUCUUCUUCAUGGGCGCUGCCCUUCUUGAACUUUCUUGACCUUCCAUACUACCGCUCUUGACAGCAUUCUCUAUAAGCUCACCGGAUAUUACAAUAUCCGCAAACUCCUUCGUGGCACUUCUCACUAGUUUGUAAUAAAACGGCGCCUUUAAGGUGUUGAUAAAGAGAACGGUUAUCUCCGUUUUUGUUAGUGGGGGUUCCACUUGGGCCGAGACGUCUCUCCAUCUCUGCACAUACUGUCUGAAGGUCUCUGAUGGUUUUUUCUCCAUCAUUUGCAAGGUCAUCCGGUCUGGCACCAUGUCUGAUACAUGCUUGUACUGCUCGCAGAAUGCAGACGCCAAGUCCUUCCAGGAUCGAAUCUUUUCUCUACUAAGUUGGUUGUACCACCGAAGAGCUGACCCUGUUAGCUAUCUUGAAAGCAAUGUAUGAGUAGCUUAUCCUCGUUCACAUAACCGGUCAUUUUUCGGCAAAACAUGACAAGAUGCGCCUUUGGACAUCUCGUGCCAUCGUAUUUUUCGAAAUCAGGCACCUUGAACUUCGAAGGCAGAACUAAAUCGGGCACCAAACUGAGCUCUUUGGCACUUAAUGCAGAGAAGGCUUCAGUACCCUCUAUUACUUUGAGUCUUUCCUCUAAGCUCCUAUACUUCUCUUGAGCCUCACAAUCGUCCGUUCUCAACCUGGCUACUUCCGCUGGAUCGUCCGAAUCUGGAAUAAUUGGAUUGGCAGGAUUAGCCUCAGAAUUUGAUAUGAAUAUUCCUUGCCCUAAAUGAGUAUAUGGCACCAGCCGUUGCUCUGGGUCUGUGGGUUCUCCUUGGGUGUACCCUCUUUGUGCUGCGUGGGCGUGUGGUGGAGUGAAUCCGGGGGGAUAGAGCGGGUCUUGAUUGUGAUUAGCUAUUGAUCGAGAUUCCUCAAUGUCAGGGCUCUGCAUGGGUCCCUUUCCUUUAACUAAAGCUGACAUCAUCUCCAUCAUCUUGGCCAUUUGAUCAUUCUGUUCAAGCGAUUCUUCUCUUGAUCUCACCAUUAAGUCUCUCGUCUCUUGCUGUGACCUAGCCAACUGCUCUUGCAAUUCCUUUUGAAUUCUCUCCAUCCUUUCAAUCCUUUCAUUGAAUUCGGCCUCCAUUACUCUAGUUUGUCGGCGCGUUCUAUACGAAUGACGUGGUUCCAGUCUUGUGGUAUUACAACUGCGAAUUAUAUAUUUUAUCUUCAGCGACCGAGUAUGGGAUAUGCAAUGUAUGAAUGAAUGCAUGAAUGAAUGCAUGAAUGUUAAAUGAAUGUCAGUCAUGAAUGAAUAUGCAAAAAUUUGGUGUUAAUUUCAAGAUAGCCCCUAUUUAGGCAUUUCCUUAAUCAAAGGAGUAUUACACAACGUUUCGGUCACUCUUAUAAUUGACUCCUCCAUUAGAAACCCGUUUUUGGCAACCAAUCUCUAAUCAACACCUUCCUAACAAGAUGCCUUCGAUGCAUGAUGAAAAAUAAAAAUACAGAUAAACGACCUUGGUUAGCGCAACACAUAUAAACAGAGAAAAACUGUGGAAAAUUUAACAAAUUAAGCUACUUGGUCCAGUAGACUCGAUUCCCUUGCUUAGAAAGCACAAAUGUAAAAGAAAUAGAAGGUAAGAUGUGCUUUUCCCGUGUACUUAUUUCGGUGACUACUAAACGAGUGGAGGUUCGGCAUGGCUCUAGUUGGGUGGCUCGUAUGGUUCACUAUAUGCGGUUUUGGUUCUAGACAGGUACUCGAAUUACUCGUACUAUCAUCUGCUAAGAUUAGCACGAAGCCUCGGUCAUAACCCAUCACAGGCUCACGAGUUCAAUUCGAGGGAUUACAUUUACUUAUGCUUAUGCGGAGGGACAAGUUAACUCACGAAAGCAUAAGUCAUAUGUAACCCGAAAGUAUUCACCAGCCUGUGCGGAGGGACGAGUUAACUCACGAAGGCAUAGCGUUUACUUUCACUUAAACGGACAGAGCCCGGAUAGAGAGCUUAUGUUAUGCAAAAUGCAAGUGCACGGUGUGUGGGAGAAACUUGCAAUCCUUCCAUUUAUUUUAAAACUACAAAACUAAAACGAAAGAUAAAACAAAUUAGGAGAUACGUAUGUAUGAUUUUUUUGAAAACAAAACUUAAGGAUCAUGAUUAAAUAUUAAUUUGAACAUGGAAAUUUGAAAAUUUUGACAACACGCGUUUAAUUCCAGACACGACUCUCAACAAGGCUGUCUCCAGUGGAGUCGCCAGCUGUAGCGACGUAAAAAUUUUAGCUUAGCUUGGUCGCUAAUUGUGGCGAUUUAUUGAAAUUUUUUUUGAAAUUUGACGUUUGAUUUUUGAAAUAAAUAGGGAGUCGCCACCGAUCCUUUUUCCUAGGUGUGAUCGGACACCUAUUAGAUCUUUUAUUAAAACAAAUAAAAGGCUGAGUUUAGGUCUACGUUAAAAUCCAGAGAAAAUUUAGGGUUCGGGAGUCGGUUACGCACGAGGAAGGUAUUGGCACCCUCGCGACGCCCAAAAUUGGUAUCUUAUUAAACACAUGUUGUCUUGAUUUUCAAAAAUACGAAUUCAAUUUGACAUUUAAGUGUGAUCCGAUUGAAGGAAAUGAGAAGUUGCAAGUUUUUUUGUUUUUUAGAAGGACGUCCCGUUUUUAACACGAGCCGAUUAAUUUCACCCAACAUAGCGAUGAAAUCGAUGACUUAAUGUUAAAAUUGGUACAUUGCCUUAUUCUUAAAAUUAAAAUGUAAAAAGUUUUUAAAAAUGAUAGUAAAAAAAAAUCCAAGAAUAUUAUUGUCAAAAAAUGCGAACAAUGAUGGGAAUAAUAAAAUAUAUAAAAUAUAAAAUAUUAAAAUAUCAAAAUAUUAGAAUAAUAAUAAUUAAUAUUGACAAAUAAAAAAUAAAAUAGAAAUAAAAAAGAUGUACAUAAUAUAUAUUAGAAAUAAUAAUGAUGUUUUAAAAAAAUACUAUUAAUAAUACUACAUCAAUAUGUACAUAUAUAAAAAAUAAAUACAUGAUAAUAUUAAAAAUAUGUACAUAAUAUAGUGUUAAAAAUACAUACAUAAUAUAGUUAAGAUAUAUACAUAAGAUAACAUGUAGAAAAAAAAAUAUAUAAAUAAUAUAAUAUUAAAGAUAUAUAAAUAAAAUAGUAUAAAAUAUAUAUAUACGUAAUAUAAAAUUUAAAAUAUACCUAAUAUAUUAAAAGAAUAUAUAUAAUAUAAUAUUAAGAAAUAUAAUAAUAACAAAAAAAAGAGAGGGAGAGGGUGGGUGAUUUUCGGCCACAAGGCCGGCCAUCGUCCGGUCGCCAGACCGCCGCCGGCGCCACCGUACACGGCAGCCGGACCUCAAAAAAACUUUUUCGGUAAAAAUGGAUAAGCUUCCUCCUUUUAUUUUUUACUUUCGUAUAAAAGAAACAAAAUAAGAUUGAAAGGAAAACAAUAAGUAAACAAAGAACUUAAAAUGAGAAUAGACAAAGAAACCUCUUUUGCUUUGAUUUUUGAUUAAUCUCCAAAAAAACUAGCUUCUCCAAAAACUAGCCUUCACAAUAACUCUUCUCCUUGAUUACUUUAAAAAGAAACCUCUCCAAAAAUCCUUUACAAUAACUUUCUCUCCCGAAAACUCUAAAAAAAAAAAUCCCCCCCAUAUACAAAAUAUGGGAAGGCUUAUAUAGCCAUUUACAAAAUAUUUUUUUAUUGUUUAUGUCUUCAUUUGUAGGUACAAGUGAUGGUGGAGAAGGUGUGGCUAGUGGAGUUGGUGGUGGAAAAAGAGUGGCUAGUGGAGUUGGUGGUGGAAAAGGUGUGGCUAGUGGAGUUGGUAGUGGAAAAAGAGUGGCUAGUGGAGUUAGUGGUGGAAAAGGUGUGGCUAGUGGAGUUGGUGGUGGAAAAGGAGUGGUUAGUUGAGAAAAGUUUAAGUUGUGGGCUAGGUUUUUUUUAUUUUGAUUUGGGCUUAGGGUCUGGGCCAUUGGGGUUUUGAUGUAAAUUGGGCUUUGGGUAGUUAAGAUUUUGGGUUUUGGGUUUAAUUUUGGUGGGUUAGGUAAGGCUAAAUUGGGUUUUGAUGUAAAUGGGCUAAAAUUGGCCUACAACAAUAUAUAUUAAUAUUUAAAAGAGAUUGUAUAAGAAAAUUAAAAGAGUUUAAUGCAAAAAGAAAUUCGAAGUGGUUAUUUCAUAAAACAAAACAAAAUCAUGCAUGUACAAAUGUAUAUGUAUACAACAAAUAUAAUAUAUUAAAAAACAAGAUAUUGACAUGAUAAAAAUCUUCAAAACAACUGUACAAAUAAGCAAAUAAGAAUAAAAGGUUACAAGCCAAAAGGAUUUAAUUAGAAUCGAUCCAAAACGAAAGGGAUAAUCUGAAAAUAAAGUAAUAAUAAUAAAAGGAUCAAUAUUCAAUGCGCGAAAACGCAUAGGGACUAAAACUGGCAAUAUACCAGAUACCAAAACGUUACGUUUAGGCGCGGAUUAGAUUGGAAACAAAUUUAAAUUACAAGGAAAAAAUUAAAAAAAAUAAAAAAGGAGCAGAUGGGCCGAUUUAAAUGCGGUGCAAAAGUGGAGGGAUUUAACUUGCAAAUAACCCCUCACCGCAAUGACGCGUGGAUCCUGAGAGUCAAAGAACCAGAUCGGGUCGGGCAGAAAGGGGGUGGCCUAGACGAUGUCGUUUGAGACCAUUUUUAUUGGUCUAAACGGUGUCGUUUCUACUACCAUAAAAAGGCUAAACCAUGCCUUCAUUCAGCCGAAACCCUAGAGUAACCCUGGCUUUUCUUUUUUUCCUUAGCUGAACCCUAAGUCACUGCCCCAAACUGACGAUUCUCAUCCCCCAGGCACGAAUUACUCACCCAAUCCCGAAGGAUGAUUUUUAGCCUCAAAAUCUCCUCCUGGCCUCGACUUUAACAAAGCAGAAGGAGAUCUACGGCGUACCCCCGGUAAGGUUUCGUUUCUUUUUUCUUUUAUGCACUCAAAACUUGAAAGAACGACUGAAGAUUCAGAAAUAAAUGAACUGGGCUAAGGAUAAAAGAAAAGCCUCAGAGAUUGGAAUCGGAAUCACCUUCGAAUGCUCGUUGCUUUUUUUGUAUAUUGCCUUUGUUUUUCAUUUUCUAUUGCUUCUGUAUGCGUAAAAAAGGGGAACCCCUAUACAAUAUAAAAUCCUCGGUUUUAUAGUCGAAUGUUCAAAAAAGAAAUAAAAGAAUACAAUUUUUGUUCUUUUUUCGUAUUGGCCAUUAUUGCUGCUGUCGUUUUGUCCGUUUCUUUGCAGGUACAAAGUGUGCGUUGGUGCUCGGGUACGGGGCUGUGUGUUGGCAUCGUACGGAGACUAUGCUGGCGCGGACGUGGCUGCUGAACGGUACAGAGCAUACGACGCUGGGGCUAGGCUCGUCUGCGGUUACGGCGCGAAAGUGAGGAGGAAGCUCUAGGGUUUCUUUUCUCAAAAUACUGGGCCUAACGGGCUAGUAAUUGAUAUUGUGCUGUAGGGCAUUGAUUAAUGGACUGUUUUGUUUAUUUGGGUUUUAUGUUUAAGUUUGGGCUAUUAGGUUUGGGUUUAAGUUUAGGCCAUUGGGUUUGGUUUUAGGAUAUUUGUAAAUGGACAUUUAUUUAAUUAUUGGGUUUUUUACUAUUAGGUUUGAGGUUAAUGGGCCGGGCAAAUUUGGCCCACUACAGUUGCCCCUCUUUGCUCAUUGUCGUGUAACGAGAAUAGAGCAAAGAUUAUAAAUGGGCCAAUUUUUCCAGGACCUGCUGAGUCUCGAUUUCUUUUGGCGCUUCUUUUCUUCAAGUAACUUCAAUAUGCCCCACUGCAACUUCAAGGAGACUCGGUUCACGUGUUUUUAUCCUGCUCUACUGCAACUUCAGAGAGAUGAGAAUUGUGACUUCGACCUGCUCCACUGCGACUUCAGGGAGACAAGAUCUUGCAAUUUUCGGCCUAUUGCCCUACUACUUAGGGGGUUAAGGCUUGUUUUCUUCGAUCUGCUCUACUGGAGACGAGAUCUGCAAUCUUCGGCCUACUCCGCUACAACCUUAGGGAGCUAGGAUAGUGGCUUGAAUCUUGCUUCACUGCAAUUUUAGGAAGGCUAGAUUCACCGUCUUUGAUCUGCUCUACUGCAACCUCAGGGAGACAAGAUCUAAAAUUUCAGCCUACUCCACUACAACUUUAAGGAGCUAGGUUGGUGGCUUAAAUCUGCUUCACUGCAACUUCAGGAAGCCAAGAUUCGCCAUCUUCGAUCUGCUUCACAGCAACUUCAGGGAAAUAAGAUCUAAAAUUUCAGCCUACUCCACUACAACUUUAGGGAGCUAGGUUGGUGGCUUAAAUCUGCUUCACUGCAACUUCAGGAAGCCAAGAUUCGCCGUCUUCGAUCUGCUUCACUGCAACUUCAGGGAAACAAGAUCUAAAAUUUUAGCCUACUCCACUACAACUUUAGAGAGCUAGGUUGGUGGCUUAAAUCUGCUUCACUGUAACUUCAGGAAGCCAAGAUUCACCGUCUUCGAUCUGCUUCACUACAACUUCAGGGAAACAAGAUCUAUAGGAUUCGCCAAUGUCACUACACUGUCUUCUAAAGACAUGAUUUGUAAAAUUGGUUUCCUGUAUCUGUGUAUGUCAAAUAAUUAGGAUGCUAUGAUCGAGAUGAAUUAAAUGUCUCUAACUAGAUAUGGUGUUUAUGUCAAAUAAUUAGAAUGUUAUGAUCGAAAUGAAUCAAGUGCUCCUAACUAAAUGAAUGAUUAUGAAUGUAGAAAUGUCAUGAGAGUAACUCCUUUUUAAACGCUUAAGCUAUCAUUGCUCAUAGUUCCUCCGGGUUCUAUCAUUGAUGUGCUAUCACGCCCUCUUGCUUAGUCGUUAUCUCUGACAGAAAAUUUGAAGAAAUAGCCAUAAUUUGGACUACUCUUUUUCCAAUGUUUUCCACUUUCGAGUCUGGUUAAUUCUAGAUAGUAGCCCUGUUUCAGGUCCUUGUACUAUUUAGAGAAUUUUCAAAAUAAUAUGCAUAACUUCUUUUAUUUGGAUAUUAUAAGUCCAAAAAAUCGUGAUUUCAACAAAAUGCUCAAAAGAGAUUAUCAUAAUGGACAAGAUAGAAUUCUAUUGAGUAAAACUCGAAGUGAAUACAUUAAACAGGAUAGCAAAUCUACUAAGGCGUAAAACUCAAAGUGAAUACAUUAAACAGGAUAGCAAAUCUAAUAAGGUACAAAAAUAAAAUGAGAAAAGAGGUGCCCUAGAUAUCGCCGCACGAGUUUCACUAUUCUGAUUUCUCAAAGGCUCUUUCGAACUAAAUGUGUGUUCAAGAGAUCCCUCGUAUUUUGUUGAUGCUCCAAGAUGUACCGUUCUUCCCUCUUGUUAAUUUUAGAAGGACAAGACUACUGCAUGCCCUAUACUCAAAAUUUGAGCUGCCCAUUUUUCGGGUUUUCAAAUCAAAAUUCCCUUUGGUCUCAAAGUGCCCUUUGCGGGUUUUCACUCUGGCCUCUCUUUCUUCAGGUAAAAUACUUCUUGACCGAAUCCGAGAGUACAGGAUUGGGAAAGUUUCUACCAUCCAUCUCGGCUAGAAUCAAUGCUCCUUUGGAGAAAGCUUUCUUCACCACGUAAGGCCCCUCCCAAUUAGGCAUCCAUUUUCCUCGAAAAUCCUUCUGCAUGGGAAGGAUCUUUUUCAAAACCAGGUCUCCCUCGUGGAAUUCUCUAGGACGAACCUUUUUGUCAUAUGCUCGCAUUAUUCGGUUUUGGUACAUCUGACCAUGAUGAAUAGGUCUUAGCCUCUUUUCUUCAAUCAAGUUCAAUUAAUCGUAUCGAGAUUGGAUUCAUUCUGCUUCAUCCAAUUUUAACUCUGACAAUAUUCGAAGGGACGGGAUCUCCGCUUCGAUUGGUAAAACCGCUUCCAUUCCGUAGACCAAAGAGAAAGGCGUUGCCCCAGUUGAGGUUCUGACUGAUGUUCGGUAAGCUAAGAGGGCGAAUGGUAACUUUUCAUGCCAAUCUUUGUAGGUCUCAGUCAUCUUCCCUACAAUCUUCUUAAUAUUUUUAUUGGCUGCUUCCACUGCCCCAUUCAUCUUCGGGCGAUAUGGUGACGAGUUAUGAUGUCUGAUCUUAAAUUGACUGUAGACUUCCGCUAUCGUACUGUUGUUCAAGUUUAAUGCGUUAUCAGAUAUGAUCCUCUCCGGCAUUCCAUAUCGACAUAUGAUCUCUUUUUUCAGGAACUUGCUCACUACUGACUUUGUAACACUAGCAUACGAAGCAGCUUUUACCCAUUUGGUGAAGUAGUCGAUAACCAUAAAGAUGAACUGAUGCCCGUUAAAAGCUUUCGGAGAUAUUGGUCUAAUCACAUCCAUACCCCACGUAGAGAAAGGCCAUGAGGAAACCAUGACAUGCAAUGGUGAAGGAGGCACAUGAUUUUUGUCUCCGUAGAUUUGGCACUUAUGGCAUCUUUUGGCGUAAUUGACACAGUCUCCCUCCAUAGUGGACCAAUAAUACCCGAAUCUUAUAAUUUGCCUGGCUAUUGUAAAGCCAUUAGCGUGUGUCCCGCAGACGCCUUCAUAGACUUCUUCCAAGAUUUUCUUAGCCUUUACAGCAUCUACGUAUCUUAAUAGCACUUGAUCAUUUCUUCUUUUGUAUAAGAUCUCCCCAUCUAAGACAUAGUCGAUGGCCAAUCUUCUCAGCGUCCUUUUGUCAUUCUCACUUGCCUGGUCUGGGUUUUCAUGAUUCUUCACGUAUUGCAAUAUAUCGUGAUACCAAGGGUGAUCAUCUUUUUCUUCAUCCUCUUCAAUAUUAUAACAGUGGGCUGGAGUUUCAUAAAUGCUCAUUCGGAUAGGUUUGACAUCUUCUUAUUUGUUCACCUUGAUCAUGGAAGCUAAGGUAGCCAAAGCAUCGGCCAUCUGAUUUUCAUCUCGUGAAAGGUAGCAGAAGGUAAUGUCGUCGAACUCUUUGACCAAUUCAAGGACCAGUUUUCGAUAAUUGAUCAAUUUGGGAUCUCUGGUCUCCCAUUCUCCUUUGAGUUGAUAAAUCACUGGGGCAGAAUCCCCAUACACCUCUAGCACUUUAAUCUUGCAUUCUAUAGUUGCACGGAUACCCAUGAUGCACGCUUCGUAUUCUGCCAUGUUAUUUGUACAAUCAAAAUCCAAUUUACUAGUGAAUGGAUAAUGAUCUCCGUUUGGGGAAACCAAGACUGCCCCGAUUCCAUUACCCACGGCAUUUGAUGCCCCAUCGAAGUUUAGUUUCCAAGAAAGUUCUUCCAGAGCACCUUCUUCAGUGGUAGCAACACACAUCAGGUUUUUGUUCGGGAAAUCAAAGUUCAAAGGCUCGUAGUCUUCCAAAGCUCUACUGGCCAGAAAAUCUGCUAUUGCACUGCCUUUUACCGCUUUCUGGUUUACAUAAAUUAUGUCGAAUUCAGAGAGCAGAAUCUGCCAUAGGGUCAUCCUUCCAUUCAAAGCGGUUGACUCCAUCAUGUACUUUCAGGGGUCGAGUUUUGAAAUGAGUCAAGUAGUAUGAUACAACAUAUACUGCCUCAACCUUCGAGUUGUCCAAAUUAGGGCACAACACAACUUCUCUAUCGGCGGGUACCUUGUCUCACAUUCCGUGAACUUUUUACUAAGAUAGUAAAUAGCUUUUUCUUUCCUUCCUGACUCAUCAUGCUGACCCAGUACGCAUCCAUGGAAUUCUCAAAUACUGCCAAAUAUAAUAUCAAUGGCCUAUCAGGGUCAGGUGGCGUUACCACCGGAGCAUUGGAUAAGUACUGUUUAACCUUAUCGAAAGCCCUUUAGCAUUCUUCAUCCUAUUCACCUGGGUUGUGUUUCUUGAGGAGGCAGAAAACAGGAUCACAUUUCUCGAUUAGUUGUGAAAUGAUCCGAGCGAUGUAAUUUAAUCUUCUUAGAAAGCCUCGAACCUCUUUCUAAGUACGUGGCGGAGAUAGCUCUUGUUUGGCUUUAAUGUUGUCUGGAUCGAUCUCGAUCCUUUUCUCACUAACCAUGAAUCCGAGUAGCUUUCCAGCCUUGGCCCCAAAAGUACAUUUGGCUGGGUUGAGUUUUAGCUGAAACUUCCUCAACUUCAAAAAAAAUUUUCUCAGGACUUGUAUGUGCUCUUUCUCUAUUCGAGAUUUUGCGAUCAUAUCAUCGACAUAAACCUCGAUUUCUUUAUGCAUCAUGUCGUGGAACAGGGUUACCAUGGCUCUUUGAUAAGUUACCCCCGCAUUCUUCAGUCCAAACGGUAUCAUUUUGUAGUAAAAUGUCCCCCACAUGGUUACAAAUGUGGUCUUCUCUAUGUCUUCAGGAUGCACCCUGAUCUGGUUAUAUCCGGAGAAACUGUCCAUGAAUGAAAACAAUGAGUGUCCUGCCGUGUUGUCCACUAGGGUGUCAAUAUGAGGUAGUGGAAAUUAUCCUUCGGGCUGGCUUUAUUCAAAUCUCUGUAGUCCACACACAUUCGCACUUUUCCAUCUUUCUUAGGGACGUAGACGAUGUUGGCUACCCAAUCUGAGUAUUUUACCACCUUCAGGAAUCCAGCGUCGAACUACUUUCGAACCUUUUCUUUUAUUUUUAGCAAGACAUCGGGCCUCAUUCUUUAGAGUUUUUGCUGAACUGGCUUGCAUUCUUCCUUUAUGGGGAGUCUAUGCACCACGAUAUCAGUGUUCAACCCGGGCAUAUCUUGGUAUGACCAUGCGAAGACAUCUUUGAAUUCUUGAAGUACUUCAAUGAGGUCUCGCUUCAUCUCUGUGGUGAUACAUGUUCUGAUCUUCACCUCUUGUCUUUCUCCUAAGCUCACAAUUUCUACUGAUUCUUUGUAAGGUAGUGUAACACCCCUCGCCCGCAUCCGACGUCGGGACGGGGUUCGAGGUGCUACCUGACUUUUACUAACACUUCCAUACUAAACAGGGCCAUGAAAUCUCAAAUAAUUAAAAACUUUUAUUUUCACAUACAAUUUGUCCCAUAUACGGGCUUACGAGGCCCAAAACAUACAUCCGGAGUGGUUCGGGACCCAACCGAGAACUCAUGAAAAACUUAGAAAAUCUCUUGCAUCAAGUCUUCAUACGCCCGUGUGGGUAUAGAGCAUACGCUCGUGUGCUAGGGACACGCCCGUGUCCCAAACCCGUGUCCAAAAACCUGGACAAAUACAAGGCUAUUUUCCAAGCCAUUUUGUCACACUCACAAUAGAUACACGCAUACUUAUACAAUAACAUACAACAUGGCAAAAUUAGGUACUUAAACAUUCCUAACAUGUCAUGAUUAUGGCAAUUUCACAUGCAAUAGAUAUCAUAGAUUUUACUCACAUCUUUACCACAUUCAUACUAUAAUCAUUAUAAACUCAUCACAUAAUACCAUAGCACAUGCAUGCAUGAUUAAAAUAGAUUUACAACCCCAUAAUCAAAAUAGGCCAACACAUAUGAUUAAAGCCAUAUCACAUACUCUAAUAUUUAAACUCCUAUACAUGCCAUAGGCUCAAAGUACUUGAAAUCACUACACCAAUAGCGUUAGCUUGACAGUGUGAUAAUAUCUCUGACGGCCUCCAACCCGAGCUAACUUGGAAACUCUAGAAAACAUGGGAAAGAAGAGGGGGGUAAGCUUUCGCUUAGUAAGUUCAUAUGAAAACAAUAAGCACUUAUUGACUUGUUUUAUCAAUGUUUACAACAUAUUCUCAAGUUCACUACAAGCUGUCUUUUUGAGCAACGGUCACUAAAUUAUUUAUAUCUGGAGCUAAAAAACUCCGAAUUAAGUUCCGUUAAUUUUCCCUGAUACUAGACUUAUUUUCCUUUCUUCCAUAAAAUUUUCAGAAUUUUUGGUUAAGCCAAAUAGUACAGUUUAUUCCUCAAAGUUACCCCUGAUUCACUAUCUGACAGUUCCGACCCUUCUGUACUAAAGUUCAAUUAUCUCAUAGUACAAGACUCGAAUAAUGUUCUCGUAUAUUUCUCUUGAAACUAGACUCAUAUGUCUACUUACUAAGCCAUUUAGUACAGUUUAUUAGUUAAAGUUUCCCCUGUUUCAGGGUAUGACUACUCUGACCCUUGUGCACUACAAACUAAAUUUCUCCCUGUACAGAAUUCCAAUGGCCAUGCCAUUUGUUUUCCUUAAAAAUAGACUCAAUAAGGAAUCCAUGCAUGUAAGUUAUGACUCUUAAUAAUUUUUGUACAAUUUAUGGUGAAUUUCUAAAGUCAGAACAGGGGAUCUCGAAUUCAUUCAGACCCUGUUUCACAAGAAUUCAAAUAUCACACAAUCUGGAAUUCUUUUUCUUCCCCUGUUUCUUUCAUGUGAAAAUAGCUCAUUAAGCUUUAAUCCCAUAUUUUAUUCUGCUCUAGCUCAUUUUCCACUAUUUUUAGUGUAUUUUCAAAGUUACACUACUGCAGUAACUCAAAUCUGUCAAGGCUAAAUUACUCAUUCAUGAUCAUUGUUCACAAAAUUAAUACAACAUCGUUUGUAUAAUCAUCACCGAGACAUUCAUAUCACAUUUUCAUUUACCAUCUUACCAUAUUGUUGUUAUGUCGAGUUUUCAACCCGAGGGUUAAGUACAUACCUGUUCAAAGUAUCCAUUUCACAACAUUUACCAAUACAUCCCUUUCAUCUCGAGUAUUCCUCCAUUUGAAUAGAAUUUUACCCGUUGAACACAUCAGAAUAUAAUUCAGAUACAUGGAAAGUUUGCACAUAAGUGCCACAUAUGGAGCCAAGCUACCAUGUAACCCGCCCAUAAGUGAACUCGGACUCAACUCAACGAGCUCGGGCGUUCGUAUUCAUAAGUGAACUCAGACUCAACUCAACGAGCUCGGAUGCCUAGUUACAUCUCACGAACUCGGACUCAACUCAACGAGUUCGAACAUUCGCAUCCAUAAGUGAACUCGGACUCAACUCAACGAGUUCAGAUGCUCAACCAUCCUAGUUGUAGCGACGUAAAAAAUUUUUUAGUUUCGCUUGGUCGCUAAUUGUGGCGAUUUAUUAAACAUUUGAAAACCAACUUUCGAUUUUAUUAACAAAGGGAGUCGCCACCGAUCCUUUUUUAUAGGUGUGAUCGGACACCUAAUAAAAUUAUUUUAAAACAAAAAGAAGGCCAAAUUUAGGUCUACAUGAAAGUCCAGAGAAAAAUUGGGGUUCGGGAGUCAGUUACGCGUGAGGAAGGUAUUAGCACCCUCGCGACGCCCAAAAUUGGUAUCUCAUAAACAUGUGUUGACUUGAUUUUCAAAAAUACGAGCUCAAUAUUAUAUUUAAUCGUGAUCCGAUUGAAAAAUGAGAAUUUUUAGUUUUCGAUUUUUUUUUAGAAAGGGUGUCCCGUUUUUUAACACAAGCCGACGAAUUUCACCCAACAUAGUGAUGAAAUCGAUGGCUUAAUAUUAAAUCGGUACAUUACCUUAUUUUUGAAAUUAAUUAAAACAUGAGAAAAAAUAUUCCUAAAGUGAGAAAUUAAAAAUAGAUAAAGGACGCAAAAAAAUGAUAUAUUAAUGAAAAAUAUUAACAUGGAAUACUAGAAUAUUAGAAUAACAAUAAUAAUGAUAUUUACAAAAUAAAAACAAAUCAUGUACUAAUAAUAAAAUAGGAAAAAUGAUAUAUUUGGUAAUAAUAAUAUAAAAUAAUAAUAUGUACAUAAAAAUACAUAUAUAUAUAUGCAUAUAAUAAAAGUAUGUAAUAAUAAUAAUAAUAUCUACAAUAAAAGAAAAUAUUAGGAAACGUACAUAAAAAAUAUAUACAUAAAAAAUUUACAACAAUAAUAUAAAAUAAUGAUAUGUGCAAAUAUAUAUACAUAUGUACAUAAAAUAUACACUAAUAUAAUAAUAGUUAUAAUAAUACUAGCAAUAGUAAUAAUUUGUAAUAAUAAUAUAUACACAUUAUGGUAUUUAAAAUAUAUAUAUAUGUAUAUAAUAGUAUUUAAGAAUAUAUACAUAAGAAAUAUAUAACUAAUGGCAUUAAAAAAUAUAUACAUAAUAUAUAUAAAAUACCUAAAAAAAAGAAGGGGGAAAGAAGAGAGAAUGGAGGGGGGAAAGGAAAUCCGGCCAAUGGGGGCCGAUCACCGGUCGAUCGUCGGUCGCCGCCCGUCGUCAGCCAUUGCCGGCCACCGCCCACGGUGGCCGAAAAAGGUAAAAAAAUUUUAACAAUAUAUGUAUAUAUAAAGAAAGAAAAAAAACAACACAAAAAAAAAGAAAAAAAAGAUUCGAAAGAAGAGGAAAAAAGAAAAAGAUGCAACCUUUUUAUUAAUGUUUCUUUUGUGUUCAAAAUUUGAAGGGAUUUUUGUGUUUUUUUUUUUCAAUCUUUGUAAAAUCUCUCCCCCUUUUUACAUGAUUUUUGAAUGGCUUUUUAUAGCCAUCUUUUACAUGAUUUUCUAUUAUUUCCUUUUCUAUUUUGUAGGUGGUGGUAGUAGACAAUGGAUAUCAAAAAUGGGAGGAAAAAUGAGGCAAGUGGGAAAGUGGCUAGGUGGCUAGGGUUUCUUAGUUUUUUUUGGGUUAGGUUUUUCUUUUUUCUUCUUUUUUUUUUCUUUUUGGUUAGGUUUUUUUGGGGGGGGCUUAAUGGGCCUUUGAAUUGGGUUUAAUAUUUGGGUUUUGUAAUGGGUUUGGGUAGAUGUAAAUGGGUCAUGGGUUAAGGGUUUUAGUGGGUUUAGAGGCUUGGUUGGGUUUUGAUGAAAUCGGGCCCGGGCAAUUUGGGCUUCUACAGCUGCCCCUCUUUGCUCAUUGUCGUGCAACGAUAAUAGAGCAAAGACUUUCAAGGAAGACCAAAUUUGCCCGGUCUUGCUAGGUCUUGACUUGCUUUGGAACUCUUUUUGUUUAGUUAGUCCCUUUUUAGUCCACCGCAUCUUGUAGCUUUGGUUCACUCCACUGCAUCUUAUGAUAUACGCCUUGUAGCUUCAAUCUAUUCCAAUGUAACUUCAAGGAUAUGAAAUUUAUGGCUUCGAUCUACUUCACUGUAACUUCAGAAAGGUGAGAUCUACAACUUCAAUCUUCUCUUCUAUCGCUUCAGUGUUUGUGGUCUUUUCUUCUGCGACUUUAGAAAGGCAAGAUCUGAUGCCCCCGAUCAACUCUACUGCAACUUUAAGGAGACAGAAUCUGACGUCUUCAAUCAGCUUCAAUCUUUAUUCUCUACUCGGCAUAUGAUCCUCUCGCAAUAUGAGUUGAUUUUUGAAACUUAUCUUGAAAAGCAGAUUUUGAAAAUACCUCGACAUGUGACUCGAGACUCAACUCACCUCUCGCAGAAAUUAAAAAGCUCAACUCACCUUUCGCAAUAUAAAUUGAAAAAAAUACCACAGUGUGUGAUCUGAAGCUCAACUCACCUCUCGCAAUAUGAGUUGAUUUUUUUUUGAAAGACAGAAAUUGAAAAUACCUCAGCAUGUGAACUGAGGCUCAACUCACCUCUGACAAUAUAAGUUGAGUUUUUUGAAAACAGAAAUUGAAAAUACCUCAACGUUUCUUGAGGCUCAACUCAUUUCUCGCAAUAUGAGUUGAAUUUUGAAAACAGAAAUUGAAAUUACCUCAGCGUGUCCCGAGGCUCAACUCAUCUCUUGCAAUAUGAGUUGAUUUUUUUUUUGACAACAGAAAUUGAAAUUACCUCAGCGUGUCCUGAGGCUCAACUCACCUCUCGUAAUAUGAGUUGAUUUUUUUUAAAAGGCAGAAAUUGAAAAACAGAAAUUGAAAAUACCUCGGCGUGUGACCUAAGGCUCAACCCGCCUCUUGCAAUACGAGUUGAUUUUUUUUUGAAAGACAGAAAUUGAAAAUACCUCAGCAUGUGAACCGAGACUCAACUCACCUCUCGCAAUAUAAGUUGAUUUUUUUUUAAAACAGAAAUUGAAAAUACCUCAAUGUGUCUUAAGGCUCAACUCAUUUCUUGCAAUAUGAGUUGAAUUUUGAAAACAGAAAUUGAAAUUACCUCAACGUGUCUUGAGGCGCAACUCAUUUCUCGCAAUAUGAGUUGAAUUUUGAAAACAGAAAUUGAAAUUACCUCAGCGUGUCCCGAGGCUCAACUCACUUCUCGCAAUAUGAGUUGAAUUUUGAAAAUAGAAAUUGAAAUUACCUCAACGUGUCUUGAGGCUCAACUCAUUUCUCGCAAUAUGAGUUGAAUUUUGAAAACAGAAAUUGAAAUUACCUCAGCGUGUCCCGAGGCUCAACUCACUUCUCGCAAUAUGAGUUUUGAAAACAGAAAUUGAAAUUACCUCAGCGUGUCCCGAGGCUCAACUCACCUCUCGCAAUAUGAGUUGAUUUUUUUGAAAGACAAAAAUUGAAAAUACCUCAGCAUGUCUUGAGGCUCAACUCACUUCUCGCAAUAUGAGUUGAAUUUUGAAAACAGAAAUUGAAAUUACCUCAGCGUGUCCCGAGGCUCGACUCACCUCUCGCAAUAUGAGUUGAUUUUUUUUGAAAGACAAAAAUUGAAAAUACCUCAGCAUGUCUUGAGGCUCAACUCAUUUCUCGCAAUAUGAGUUGAAUUUUGAAAUAAAACAUCAGAAUACCAGAACAUGUCAUCUGGUGGAACUCAUGUGUCUUUUCAGCUAUCAUCACAUCUUCUUGCUCUACUGGAGUACCUGUAUAUGUCAUGCAUGAUGUUAUCAUGAUAUGCAUAUGUUUUUCGUAAAUGAUUUUAUGCCUACAUGAUUAUGCUAUGUAUCUUAGGCAUGUUUGUCGUAUGCCCUUUUUCAUCACUAUUUUCGUGAUGAUCUGUAUUCAUUACUUCGGCUCCUGACUUUCUCUUUAGGCCCUGUACCCGUCCUCAAGUUUCACGAGUAAUCAAUGUUUCUCAAAUAUCACUCUUUUGCCCCUAGUUGAGCUUUGUCCCUGCGUUGAGACUCUUGUACUUAUCAAAUUCUUACCCGGGUAAUGCUUAACAUUUCUUUCGUUUAGAGUAUGUCAUUUCACUAUUUAUCAUGUAAAUGAAUCACAUAAUGAGAUGCGUGAAAAUGGUCAGGUAGAGACAAAAGGAUACCUCACAUUUAUUCAUUUCAAAAGUAGCAAACAAAGAAAGUUAACCAAUGAUAGUAAAAGAGUGUUAUAAAGAGAAAAGGGAUUGCAUUCAACGAAUACAAAUGCUCUAGAUAUUCAAUGCAUGAACUCUUCCACGUUCCUCAAUCAAGAAUCUUUUCGAGCAUGGCUUCUUGUGUAAAAGAUUCUGAGCUUUCAGAAAUGCUUCAAAUACGGUAGUCUCACUAUUUGACCCACCGUUCAAAAUGCCUUGUUCUUUAAGCCCGGGUUUGCUUCAUUAGAAUGCCCUUUCGGGUUUUCAUCCUAAUCUUUUGUGUUUAAUCAAAACGCCCUUUUCGGGUUUUCACCUUGAUCACCCUUUUUUUCUUUUUUUUAUAUGCUCUUUUUGGGUUUUCAUCUUGGAUUCCUUUUUCAAGCAUAAUAUUUCUUUACAGCAUCUGAAUUCACUGGACUCGGUAACUCUUUCCCAUCCAUCUCGGUGAGGAUCAAAGCUCCGCCCGAAAAUGCCUUCUUUACGAUGUAUGGACCUUCCCAAUUUGGCGUCCAUUUUCCUUGAAAAUCUUUUUGUAUUGGGAGAAUCUUCCUCAGCACGAGUUCUCCUUCAUGGAAUUCUCUUGGUCGUACCUUCUUGUCAUGGGCUGCGAUCAUUCUCUUCUGGUACAUCUGUCCAUGGCAAACUGCCUGCAGACGUUUUUCUUCAAUAAGGUUUAACUGGUCAUAUCGAGCUCGAACCCAUUCUGCUUCUUCUAGUUUUGAUUCCAUUAAGACUCGUAGAGAGGGGAUCUCAACUUCGAUGGGUAGCACAGCUUCCAUUCCAUAGACCAGAGAGAAAGGAGUUGCUCCCGUAGAUGUCCGCACAGAUGUACGAUAUGCAUACAAAGCAAAUGGUAGCUUCUCGUGCCAGUCUUUAUAUGUCUCGGUCAUUUUCCCAAUAAUCUUUUUAAUAUUCUUAUUGGCUACUUCAACAACUCCGUUCAUCUUUGGGCGAUAGGGUGAGGAGUUAUGAUGUUUUAUUUGGAAUUGCUCACACACUUCCUUCAUCAUCUUGUUAUUCAGAUUCAUGGCGUUAUCUGAAAUGAUUCUUUCAGGCAAACCAUGUCGACAAAUGAUUUCCUUCUUCAAAAACCUACAAACUGCAGUCUUGGUCACAUUGGCAAACGAAGCGGCUUUUAUCCAUUUUGUGAAGUAAUCAAUGACCAUAAAAAUAAAUCGGUGUCCAUUAGAAGCUUUUGGAGAAAUUGGCCCUAUAACAUCCAUGCCCCACAUAGAAAAAGGCCACGGAGAAGUCAUGACGUGAAGGGGCAAAUGGGCUGCAUGAAUUUUAUCACCAUAAAUUUGACAUUUGUGGCAUUUUCGUGCGAAAUUAAUGUAGUCGCUUUCCAUUGUCAGCCAGUAAUAUCCGAGUCUCAUAAUCUUCUUGGCCAUAGUGAAACCAUUGGCAUGCGUUUCGCAAAUUCCCUCAUGGACCUCUUCAAGUAUUUUUCUGGCUUCAACAUCAUCCACACAUCUCAAAAGCAUCUGAUCUUUUCCUCUUUUGUACAGGAUGUCCCCAUCAAGAACGAAUCCUGCUGCCAUUCUUCUGAUUGUUCUUUUGUCGUUCUCGUUUGCUUGUUCGGGAUAAUUUUGAUUCUUGAUAUAUUCUAAGACAUCAUGGAACCAUAGCCGUCCAUCUGUCUCUUUCUCGAUGCUGAAACAAUGUGCAGGGGCUUCAUAUAUGCUCAUUUGAAGAGGCAUUAUUUCUGUUUCCUAGUUUGCUUUGAACAUUGAAGCCAAAGUGGCCAAGGCAUCAGCCAAUUGGUUUUCUUCUCAUGGGAGGUAAUUAAAAGUUAUUUCUUCAAAUUCUUUAAUCAACUCUGCCACUAGAUCUCUGUAUUUAACCAGUUUUGAGUCUCUCACUUCCCAAUCUCCACGGAUUUGGUAAAUCACCAAGGCUGAGUCUCCGUAUACCUCUAAAACUUCGAUGUUUCGUUCAAUAGCUGCACGGAGUCCCAUGAUACAUGCCUCAUAUUCCACUAUGUUAUUGGUACAGAAGAAAUUCAGCCUGGCAGUGAGUGGGUAAUGAUUCCCUUCUGGCGAUAAUAAGACUGCUCCAAUCCCAUGCCCCAAUGCGUUCGAUGCACCAUCAAAGCUCAUCUUCCAUGACUUCUCUUUUGGUGACUCGUAUUCUUUUUCCGUAAUGCACAUCAAGUCUUCAUCUGGGAAAUCAAAUCUCAAUGGCUCGUAAUCCUCUGUUGUUCGAGUUGCUAAGAAGUCAGCUAUUGCGCUCCCUUUUAUCGACUUCUGACUUACAUAGGCAAUGUCAUAUUCCGAAAGGAGGAUCUGCCACCGUGCCAUUCUUCCUGAUAGUGCCGGCGAUCCAUCAUGUAUUUUAUUGGGUCCAGCUUUGAAAUUAGCCAUGUCGUGUGAUACAACAUAUAUUGUCUGAGUCUCCGAGCUACUUUGCCUCAUAUUCAGUGAACUUUUUACUGAGGUAGUAGAUCGCCUUUUCUUUCUUCCCUGACUCGUCGUGUUGCCCCAGUACGCAACCCAUUGAAUUUUCAAACACGGUCAAAUACAAUAUCAAUGGUCUCCCCGGAGUUGCCGGUACUAGCACUGGGGGACUAGACAAAUAUUGCUUUAUCUUAUCAAAGGGCACCUGACAUUCCUCAUUCCAAUUUCCUGGGUUAUGUUUUCGAAGAAGCCGAAAGAUUGGGUCGCAUUGGUUGGUAAGUUGAGCGAUGAAUCGGGAGAUGUAGUUUAAUCUCCCUAAAAAUCCUUUAACUUCCUUUUGCGUGCGUGGAGGUGGCAACUCUUGAAUGGCUUUUACUUUAUCUGGAUCAACCUCGAUACCUCUUUCACUGACAAUGACGCCUAGCAACUUCCCCGAGGUAGCCUCAAACGUACAUUUGGCUGGAUUAAGCUUUAGCUGAAACUUUCUCAGCCUUUCGAACAACUCCUUGAGGUUCACUACAUGCUCUUCUUCUCCUCGAGAUUUAGCAAUCAUAUCAUCGACGUAGACUUCUAUUUAUUUAUGCAUCAUGUCAUGGAAUAAUGUCACCAUAGCCCUCUGAUAUGUUGCCCCAGCAUUCUUUAACCCAAAAGGCAUUACCUUGUAGUAGAAUGUUCCCCACAUCGUUAUGAAGGUAGUUUUCUCCAUAUCUUCCGGGGCCAUUUUGAUCUGAUUGUACCCCGAGAAUCCAUCCAUGAAGGAAAACAAUGAAUGUUUUGCCGUGUUAUCCACCAACGUAUCAAUGUGUGGUAAAGGAAAAUUAUCUUUAGGACUUGCUCAAUUCAGGUCACGAUAAUCCAUGCACAUUCGUACUUUGCCGUCUUUCUUUGGUACCGGGACUAUGUUAGCCACCCAUUCUGGAUAUUUGGAGGCUUGUAGGAAGCCAGCAUAAAAUUGCUUCUUGACUUCCUCUUUUAUCUUCAACAACAUCUCAGGCCUCAUUCGUCUUAGCUUUUGUUGAAUAGGCUUGCAUUCUGGCUUUAAUAAGAGCUUAUGGACCGCUACAUCUUCAUCCAAUCCUGGCAUGUACUGAUAUGACCAUGCGAAUACAUCUUUGUAUUCGCGAAGCAAAGCAAUCAAAUUAUGCCUGGUGCCCCCUGAAAUAGAAGUCCCAAUCUUCACUUCUUGCCUCCUUUCUUCAGUUCCCAGAUUUAUUGUUUCAACAGAUUCUUGAUGAGGCAAAAUCUGUUUAUCCUCUUGUUCCACCAUUCUUAGCAAAUCAAGAGACGAGACAUAGUCUUCAGCGUUUUCUUCGGCUUCGAAUUCUCCUAAACAAAUAGCCUUCUCAAAAUCGAUUUCAGGACUCGUAACGGGUUUGUUCAUGCUGUUGACAUCUGAGCACCUGAAAGUUGAAUGGAAAAGGGAACUAUAGAGGGGCAUCCAAGUAUUGAAACCAACAAACGAAAUGUUAUGGCAUGGGAUGAGGCAAAUGUAAGGAUUGGCUAUGAAAUGAGAAAAUGAUUAUGAAAUUAGUGAUAAUGUGAAAGAUUAUGAGGAAAUGCAUCUUCAUUGACAUUCAUUUGAAUGAUAAAGAGCGAAUGCAGGCUCUUACAAAAGAAUUCUAUUAUAUCUAAGGACAUAACAGAAUGUUAAUGUUUGAGUAUUACUCUGAAGACUUAUAAACUAUAAGAAGAUCCUCGGCAGUCCAAUUGUUCAACUUGAAACCUAGGGGACAAAGGCGUAUCCUUGAGACGUCUUUACUUGCGUUAGCUUCUUUGUCAAUGACAUUUAUACUGACAUUCUGAAGACCCCUUUCAAUUAAUAACAGCAUGCUUUGUAUAUUAUCCUGUCUGGGGUAUAUCAUUCCUGCAGAUGUAAAUGUUUUUGACAAAUGAGGGUACGUUAUGGGCCCCCAUUCUAUUUCUCGGCCCAAAGUUCUCACAAUCCUUCUCUCCUGAUCCUUCUUCCACUGUUUUCUUCUUUGACGCAUGUCCGGCUGGAACCUCAAACUGUAUCGGGCCUUGUGGUGCACUGGCUUUAGGGCCUUGACUAUUCCUUGCAGGUACCUUCCCAAACCUUUCCUUGCUCGGGCUCCCUUUCCUACAGUCAACUUGACACCCAUCUUGGUAUUUCUCGACAGUUUUGGCUCGGGAAUUUUGUUUCCCUCAGCGAAAAAUGUGGCAUUGACAAAUUCAAGAGAUCGGAAGGAACAUUCCAUAGCAUCUUUACUCACUUCUAUAUAUGGUGCGUCGGCAGAAAUAGAUGCUACAAUGUCUUCUUCUCCCUCGACAGUGACCAAACAGCCAUCCAUGAUGAAUUUCGCCUUUUGAUGAAGGGAUGAUGGGACCGCUCCAGCAGAAUGAAUCCAAGGUCUUCCCACGAGACAAUUGUAUGAUGGUGUAAUGUCCAUGACUUGAAACUCAACAUCGUAUAUAUAGGGACCCACUUCUAAAGGAAUCUCAAUUUUUCCAUAACUUCUCGUCUUGUUCCAUCGAAUGCCCUUACUGUAGAAUGGCAAGGCUUUAGAUAGGACAAAUCCAUCGGAAUCCUGGAAAGUGUGGCUAAAAGCAUAACAUUGAGUGCCGAUCCAUUGUUGAUGAGCACAUUCGGUAUUAUAUAGCCCUUACAACGGGUUGUGAUAUGCAAUGUUUUCACUGAGCCUCUACCAUUGGGCAGUAUUUCAUCAUCAUUAAAAGAAAUAAAAUUAUCCGCAUUCAAGUUGUUCACCCACCUAUCCAGUUUUUCAACGGAUACAUUAUUUGCCACAUAAGCUUGAUUUAACACUUUCAGCAGAGCGUUCCAGUGUGGCUCUGAAUUCAACAGCAAAGAUAAUACCGAGAUUCGCGCUGGCUGCUUAGUCAAUUGUUCUACCACGUUGUACUCACUGUGCUUGAUAAAUUUUAAAAAUUCCUGUGCUUCUUCCUCGUCCACAGGCUUUUUAGCUUCUUGUUCAGGCACAAUUUCAUACUCAGCUUCAGUCACAUGCAUCGGUGCUUUUCCUUUCUGUUUCAAGUCACUGUUCUUUACAGAUUCAACCUCUUUUGAAUAACAUCUUCCGCUACGAGUGAAAUGACCUACUUCCCCAACGCUUCCAGUCAUGGCUUUGGGUUUUUCAUCUUCAGGUGUGACGAUAUUAACGUCAUAUUUCCAUGGUACUGCUUUAUUGUCCUUGUAGGGGAAAGGAGAUGGUACCUCGAUUAUCACUUUUGGUUUCACUGGUUCCUUCUUCGCGUCAUAAUAAAUUAUUAACGGUCGAUCGGCGCUAUACGGACAACCUGACGAUUGAUUGUCGGAGGUACAUACUUCUUUCUCAUUAGCCUCUUCGCCUUUAUAAAAAAUCCCAAUCUCCUUAUUGUCCAUCAUAUUUUGCAGUAAUCUCUUGAACUCUUCGCAGGAUUGAAUAUCGUGCCCCUCAAUACUAUGGAAUUCGCAAAAACUUGGAUCUUUUGUAUUCCUUCCCUCGAAUACUCUGUUAAGAUGACAAAGCGAACCCUUUUCAACUAGCACCUCCCAAAUUUUCUGCAGAGGUGUUCUUAUUUCAGAAACCCGUCUUCUACUUUGUCGUUUGUCCUCCUCUCCUACUGCGCUCACAUUCCUUUGGGCGUGGUUUGGGAAUGGGUUCCUGGAUGUACUGCCAGUGCCAUCAAAUCGCAGAAUACCCGCAUCGAUAAGUCCUUGAACUCUCCUUUUGAAGGCCAGGCAGUUUUUUGUAGAGUGCCCCUGGUUCCCGACAUGGUAUACACAACUAGCAUUUGGAUCGUACCAUUUCGGGUAUGGAGGUUUAAGGGGUGCCAUGUAAUGGGAGAUAUUAAUUGCUUCUCCAGAAGUUUUAGGUACAGUUCCCCGUACGACACAGGAAUAGGGGUGAAUUGCUGUCUCUCGGGAUUGGGCCUUGCUGGUCUUGGUUCAUUUUUAGGUUGGCUUUGAGCGGGUAUAGUGUUUUGUAGGAAUGAGGUGAUGGGUCUUUGGUUGUUCGUGGCGUAAACGAGAUAGGAAGGAGGUGGUGCUUGGUAGUAAGGGUUUUGAGGGGGAUAAUAGAAAUUUGGAGGUGGAUAAUUUCGUGGUCGGGGUUGGUUCGGAUAUGGAUUAGAGGCAUAACGGCUUCCCAUUCCCACCAUGUGGGCUUCUGGUUCUUUCUUCUUCAUAGAUGUUGCCCUUUUUGAACCUUCUGAGCCUUUCAUUCUACCGCUCUUGACGGCAUUCUCUAUGAGCUCACCAGAUAUUACAAUAUCCGCAAACUCUUUCGUGGCACUUCCCACUAAUUUGUCAUAAAAUAGCGCAUUUAAGAUGUUGAUAAAGAGAACGGUUAUCUCCGUUUUUGUUAGUGGGGGUUCCACUUGGGCCGAGACGUCUUUCCAUCUCUGCGCAUACUUUCUGAAGGUUUCUGAUGGCUUUUUCUCCAUCAUUUCCAAGGUCAUCCGGUCUGGAACCAUAUCCGACACAUGCUUGUACUGCUCGCAAAAUACUGACGCCAAGUCCUUCCAGGAUCGCAUCUUUUCUCUACUGAGUUGGUUGUACCACCGAAGAGCUGACCCUGUUAGACUAUCUUGAAAGCAAUGUAUAAGUAGCUUAUCCUCGUUCACAUAACCGGUCAUUUUUCGACAGAACAUGAUGAGAUGUGCUUUUGGGCACCUUGUCCCAUCAUACUUUUCAAAAUCAGGCGCCUUGAAUUUCGGAGGCAAGAUUAGAUCAGGUACCAAACUGAGUUCUUUGGCACCUAGUGCGGAGAAGACUUCAGUGCCUUCUAUUGCUUUGAGUCUUUCCUCUAGACUUCUAUAUUUUGCAUCAUGAUUAUCCAAUUUCAACUUGGCUACCUCUGCUGGGUCGUCCAGAUCUGGAACUAGUGGAUCAGCAGGGCUUGCCCUUGGGUUCGACACGAAUAUUCCUUGCCCCAGAUUAGUGGGUGGAGCAGGUGGCAUAGGUCGUUGUUCCAAGACUGUGAGUUCCCCUUGAGUAUACCCUCUUUGUGUUGUAUAUGCGGGUGGUGGAGUGAAUCCCGGGGGAUAGAGUGGAUCCUGAUCGUGGUGAAUUCUUGACUGAGGUUCCAUAACAUAGGGGUUCUGCACGGGUCCUUUUCCUUUGACCAAAUUUGUCAUCAUCUCCAUCAUUUUGGCCAUCUGAUCUCUUUGCUCCAGUGAUUCCUCUCGAGAUCUCACCAUUAGGUCUCUCGUUUCUUGUUGCGAUUUGGCCAGUUGCUCUUGUAAUUCCUUUUGAGCCCUUUCCAUCCUUUCAAUUCUCUCAUUGAAUUCAGCCUCCAUUACUCUAGCUUGUCGACGCGUUUUAUACGGAUGACGUGGUUCCAGUCUUGUGGUAUUACAACUGUGAAUUAUAUAUUUUAUCUUCAACGACCGAGUAUGGGAUAUGCAAUGUAUGAAUGAAUGCAUGAAUGAAUGCAUGAAUGUCAAAUGAAUGUCAGUCAUGAAUGAAUAUGCAAAAAUUUGGUGUUAAUUUCAAGAUAGCCCCUAUUUAGGCAUUUCCUUAAUCAAAGGAGUAUUACACAACGUUUCGGUCACUCGUAUAAUUGACUCCUCCAUUAGAAACCCGUUUUUGGCAACCAAUCUCUAAUCAACACCUUCCUAACAAGAUGCCUUCGAUGCAUGAUGAAAAAUAAAAAUACAGACAAACGACAUUGGUUAGCGCAACACAUAUAAACAGAGAAAAAUUGUGGAAAAUCUAACAAAUUAAGCUACUGGGUCCAGUGGACUCGAUUCCCUUGCUUAGAAAGCACAAAUGUAAAAGAAAUAGAAGGUAAGAUGUGCUUUUCCCGUGUACUUAUUUCGGUGACUACUAAACGAGCGGAGGUUCGGCAUGGCUCUAGUUGGGUGGCUCGUAUGGUUCACUAUAUGCGAUUUUGGUUCUAGACAGGUACUCGAAUUGCUCAUACUAUCAUCUGCUAAGAUUAGCACGAAGCCUCGGUCAUAACCCAUCACAGGCUCAGGAGUUCAAUUCGAGGGAUUACAUUUACUUAUGCCAUGCGGAGGGACAAGUUAACUCACGAAAGCAUAAGUCAUAUGUAACCCGAAAGUAUUCACUAGCCUGUGCGGAGGGACGAGUUAACUCACGAAGGCAUAGCGUUUACUUUCACUUAAACGGACAGAGCCCGGGUAGAGAGCUUAUGCUAUGCAAAAUGCAAGUGCACGGUGUGUGGGAGAAACUUGCAAUCCUUCCAUUUAUUUUAAAACUACAAAACUAAAACGAAAGAUAAAAACAAAUUAGGAGAUACGUAUGUAUGAUUUUUUCGAAAACAAAACUUAAAGAUCAUGAUUAAAUAUUAAUUUGAACACGGAAAUUUGAAAAUUUUGACAACACGCGUUUAAUUCAACUCGACUCUCAAAAAUGGAGGUCCCCAGUGGAGUCGCCAGCUGUAGCGACGUAAAAAAAUUUUUAGUUUCGCUUGGUCGCUAAUUGUGGCGAUUUAUUAAACAUUUGAAAACUAACUUUCGAUUUUAUUAACAAAGGGAGUCGCCACAGAUCCUUUUUUAUAGGUGUGAUCGGACACCUAAUAAAAUUAUUUUAAAACAAAAAGAAGGCCAAAUUUAGGUCUACAUGAAAGUCCAGAGAAAAAUUGGGGUUCGGGAGUCAGUUACGCGUGAGGAAGGUAUUAACACCCUCGCGACGCCCAAAAUUGGUAUCUCAUAAACAUGUGUUGACUUGAUUUUCAAAAAUACGAGUUCAAUAUAAUAUUUAAUCGUGAUCCGAUUGAAAAAUGAGAAUUUUUAGUUUUCGAUUUUUUUUUUAAAAAGGGUGUCCCGUUUUUUAACACAAGCCGACGAAUUUCACCCAACAUAGCAAUGAAAUCGAUGGCUUAAUAUUAAAUCGGUACAUUGCCUUAUUUUUGAAAUUAAUUAAAACAUGAGAAAAAAUAUUCCGAAAGUGAGAAAUUAAAAAUAGAUAAAGGACGCAAAAAAAUGAUAUCAUUAAUGAAAAAUAUUAACAUGGAAUACUAGAAUAUUAGAAUAACAAUAAUAAUGAUAUUUACAAAAUAAAAACAAAUCAUGUACUAAUAAUAAAAUAGGAAAAAUGAUAUAUUUGGUAAUAAUAAUAUAAAAUAAUAAUAUGUACAUAAAAAUACAUAUAUAUAUAUGAAUAUAAUAAAAGUAUGUAAUAAUAAUAAUAUCUACAAUAAAAGAAAAUAUUAGGAAACGUACAUAAAAAAUAUAUACAUAAAAGUAUAUAAUAAAAGUAUGUAAUAAUAAUAAUGAUUUUUGAAUAGCUUUUUAUAGCCAUCUUUUACAUGAUUUUCUAUUAUUUCUUUUUCUAUUUUGUAGGUGGCGGUGGUAGACAAUGGAUAUCAAAAAUGGGAGGAAAAAUGGGGCAAGUGGGAAAGUGGCUAGGUGGCUAGGGUUUCUUUGUUUUUUUUGGGUUAUGUUUUUCUUUUUUCUUCUUUUUUUUUCUUUUUAGUUAGGUUUUUUUUGGGGGGGGCUUAAUGGGCUUUUGAAUUGGGUUUAAUAUUUGGGUUUUGUAAUGGGUUUGGGUAGAUGUAAAUGGGUCAUGAGUUAAGGGUUUUAGUGGGUUUAGAGGUUUGGUUGGGUUUUGAUGAAAUCGGGCCCGGGCAAUUUGGGCUUCUACACUAGUGACAUGUCACUUGUAUCCUAAUCUAUUCCUAAGGUUCAAACGGGAUUUUCCUCGAACACAUAUCCUUGCCAUCUUCCGUAAAAUACCGAAACCAAUACUCGGUAGCACUUUAUAUUUAACAGAUAAUACACAUAACUUGCAUUUUAUUCGAAAAUAACCACAAAGCAUAUAUUUCAUGAUAAAAAUCAGCAUAUCAUAUAUUUAACAUCAAUAACUUAAAAAUAACAAUUAUGCUACAUUAUUUACACAUGAACUUACCUCGAUACCACAAAGGUGAAAAAAAAACGUAAUUAUCCCUUAAUCGAUUUCUUUCCGUUCUAGGUCCAAAUCUCGAUUUUCAUCAUCUAAAACAUCACAUUCAACUUAUUAAAAUAAUGUACUGAUCAAAUUAGUCCAUUGACACACUUGGGCAAUUUUUACAAUUUUGCCCCUAUAUUUUGCCAAAACUACCAAAUUACCCCUAGGCUCGUAAAAUAAUUUUUAUCACAUUUCUUUACUUCUUGAGUCUAGAUGAACCAUUUUCAUAACUAUAGCAACUCAUAAUUUCAACUAUUUCACACAUUUACAACUCAUUUUACAACUUAGCAAUCUAGCCCUUUUUAAGGUGUUUUCAUGCAAUUUCUUUCACAAAAGUUGUUUAUUAGACAACUAGGACUCAUAAUCUUCCAUAAAAAUACAGUAAACAACACAUUUACUCUCAUGGAAAAACCCUAGACUCUUCAUCAUUUUGCAAAAUAGACCACUCAUGAAAGCUCAUGCUUUAGGGGUUCCAAAAAUGUAAAAAUCAUCAAGCAAUGACAUUAAAAUCACUUACAAGCAAGGGAAAUAUGUUGCUGAAAUUUUUCAGCUUCAAAGCCCUUUCUUUGCUACAUAUUUCGGUGAAGGAUAAGAGAAAAAUGAUAGCUUUUUCUUUUUGAUUUGUUAAUAAUAAAACUAGUCAAAAUUGGUGACCAAAUUUCACCUAAUUUUGACUUUUCAACAAUUUUGUCUCCCAUGGCCGGCCAUCACACUUUAAAUGGAGUAAUUUCACUUUAAAUACCCCCAAUUUAAGAUACAAGACAAUUUAACACCUUUAGGUAUUAAAACACAACUUUUACCCUUUACGCGAUUUAGUCCUUUUUUGAAAUUGGACUAGAAAUUGCUAAAAUUAACUUACCAAAAUUUACAUGCACUUAUAAAAUUAUAUUAUAACACAUAAAAUAAUACUAAAAAUAUUUUCUCUAGCCUCAAAAUAGUGGUCCCAAAACCACUGUUUCGACUAGGCCCAAAAUCAGGCUGUUACAGGUAGGAUUUUUUUUCGUCUCAUUCCACCAUCCUCAACAAAUCAAGAGACAGGUUACAGCCUUGGUCAUCCUCAAAAUCGUGAGAAUCCUCCAUACACACUUCUCGCUCAAAAGGAAAUUCUGAGUCAUUAGCAGUGUCACUCGUAUCAUUGAUAUCUGGGGACCUGUUAUGGGGAUGAAGGCAGAUACAAGGAAUCAAAAGAAUUCAAAAAUAUUUAUCUGUAUGGUAUGAUUAUGAAUGACGAAUGAAAUAAUAUUUAGAAGAAUGUUUAAAGAAUAAAGGAAUCCGAAAAUAAUCGUUUGUAUGUUUGUGAGUGAAAUUUAAAGAAUGAGAGAACAUCUGCUCAAAAUGAUAAUAACCGUGCAUUUUAUUGAAAUAAUGUUUUUAAACAUCAGCCUAUUUCACAAAAGAUUCUUAUUACUCCUAGGCCUAGAGCAAUAAGUGUGUUUUGGACAUUACUUUGAAUCCGUUCUAAAAACUACAGGAAUCUCUUCCGCAGUCCAGUUGUCCAGAACACUUCCAGGUGUGUAGGGGCAAAUGCCCGACAAAUUUUCUCUUCCCGUCUCCUCUUCGUAUGUGGCGUUGAUGUCUAAAUUUUCCAGCCUUUCUUUUAUGGCUCCCUUCAUUGGCGUGCCUCUCUCGGGAUGAAUAAUUCCCCCGGACACAAACGUUUUCGAUAUAUGGGGGAAUAUCAUUGGCUCCUAUUUGAUUUCCCCCCUUCCCUCCCGUUAACCGUGCUCUCCUUCUUUCUUGCUUCUUUUCCAGCUCCUUUCUCCUUUGUCUCGUAUCCGGCCUAAAUCCUAAGUCGAAGCUAUCUCUCUUGUCCUUCAGCAUUGGUGUUUCAAUCCUUCCUUGUAGAUGUCUCCCAAGUCCUCUUCCGGGUAGGGCCCCCUUUCCAAUCGUCAACUGUAGGCUCAUCCUCGUGGUUUUGGACAAUUUUGGCACCAGAAUCUUGCUUCCUUCGGCGAUAAAGGUCGCAUUAACAAAUUCCAAAGAUCGAAAUGAACAUUCGAUUGCUUCAUCAUCCGUCUCCAAAUAAGGCGCAUUAUUGCUCACAGUUGCAAUGAUAUCAUCUUCAGCAUUGAUCGUUAUCAACCUCCCCUCUGAUACCAGCUUUAACUUUUGAUGCAAUGAGGAAGGCACUGCCCCAGCUGAAUGUAUCCAGGGCCUCCCCAAUAAGCAAUUAUAUGAGGGCUUGAUAUCCAUUACUAGGAAAUCCACCUCAUAUGUGUGUGGCCCGAUUUGCAGAGGUACCUCGAUUCUUCCCAUCACCCUUCUCUCUGUACCGUCAAAUGCUUUCACUAUAUUCUGGCACUCCUUCAUGUGAGAGCUGUCUACAGGUAAUCUGUUAAGUGUAGUCAAGGGCAAGACAUUCAAGGCCGAACCAUUGUCAAUCAGUACGCCUGGCAGCGUAUACCCUUUACAGCGCGUGGUGAUAUGCAAAGCUUUAGUCGACCCCAUGCCCCCGGGUGGUAUCUCAUUGUCAUUGAAAAAGAUAUAGUUGUCAGCACUUAUGUUGCUAACCAAACGGUCUAGCUUGUUAACGGAGAUAUCGUUGGCAACAUAUGUCUCAUUCAAGACCUUCAUCAAUGCGCUGCUAUGAACUUUCGAGCUUAGAAGUAAGCCCAGCACCAAGAUGCGAGCCGGUUGUUUACGUAGCUGUUCCACCACACUGUAUUCGCUAUGUUUUAGGAAUUUUAAAAACUCGUUGGCCUCUUCCUCGUUAACUGGCUCGUUAACAGAUUUGGUCAUUUUAUCAUUCAUUUCCUCGACCACUGGGGUUUUUCCUUUUAUGGGUUGUGCCUCCUCAUUUGCUAUAUCGUAACGUCUUCCGUUAUGUGUAUAGGAGCCCCUGUCUUGACCCUCUUUUGAAGCAUCCACCAGGCUUUCCUUUCCCGAAAUUGUCACGUUAUAAUCAUAAUUCCAUGUGACCUUUUUGCUGUCUUUGUAGGGGAAGACUGCAGGUCUUUGGAUUAUGACCUUCAGUGGCAUUUGUACUCCAGCUUCAUUAUUUUUAGGUCUCGAUGUGAUAACCACGGGAUAGUUAGCUGUUUGAUUCUGUGCCGUCGAUUUUCCCUCCGACGCACAUAUAUCUCCCUCUAUGGGGUUCUUAGCUUCUUGAUAAAACUCUAUUUCUUUAUUAUCUAUCAUGUUUUGCACGAGGGCCUUAAAUUCCAUACAAUCUUGGAUUUCAUGCCUCACCUCGUCAUGAAACUCGCAGUAGUUUCUCCCUUCUUCUGAUACUUCCCUUGAAUCCGACACGAUCAACCCUCUCUUAACCAUCUCCUUCCACACCCGUCUCAACGGGGUCCUGACUUCCGCAACCUCACACUUAAUCUUCUUGUUUUUGCCUUCGCUUAUCCCAUUCACCCCUUGGUCGGUAUGAUUAGGGAGAAGAUUUCCUGCUACAUUGGGUACGGUCAAACCUCACGAUCUCCAUCUUAAUGAGUCUUUCGACUACUUUCUUGAACGCAGUGCAAUUUUCGAUUGAGUGCCCGGUAAUUUUCGCAUGGUAUUCACAUUGGGCGUUUGUGUCAUACCAUUUGGGAUACGGGGGCUGCAAUAGCUUCAGGUAAAACGGAGACACCACAUGAGCGUUGAACAGGUUUCGGUAAAGCUCCCUAUACGUCAUGGGUAUAGGAGUAAAUUGUGGCAUUUCUGUGUUCUCCCUCGCGUUGGAUUCUUGUCUUACGGAGCUACGUUAAUUGGUGGCUACCGUCUUUGGCUGAUUUACGGUAAGUGACUUGGACUGACCCUUGUUGAAUGUGCUCGUAUUGUUCACUUCUUAUCUCUUUUCUUCGGGGCCGACUUCCUGGUACUCUCUCCUAAUUCUAUCUUACCGCUUCUAAUAGUAUUUUCGAUCAUUUCCCCUAUCAUCACUAUGUCAGUGAAGCUCUUGGUGGCGCUUCCCAACAUAUGAGUGAUAAAAGGGGCCUUCAAUGUGUUAAUAAAGAGCAUCGUCGUUUCCUUUUCUAGAAGUGGUGGCUGAACUUGUAUGGCCACCUCUCUCCAUCUUUGUGCAUACUGUCUGAAGCUUUCAUUUGAUUUCUUCUCCAUAUUCUGGAGAGUGAUUCUGUCGGGGGUCAUGUCCGUCACAUGAUUGUAUUGCUUCAUAAAUGCCUGAGCCAGGUCCUUCCACAAGUUAAUUUUAGAGCGGCUUAAUUGGUUGUACCACUUAGACGCCACCCCGACCAGGCUAUCUUGAAAGCAGUGGAUUAAUAGUUGGUCAUUGUUAACGUACCCCGUCAUUCGCCUACAGAACAUAGUGAUGUGAGCUUCAGGGCAGCUUGUUCCAUUGUAUUUCUCGAAUUUGGGCAUUUUGAAUUUAGGGGGAAGGACUAAAUCUGGGACUAGACUCAGGUCCUUGGCAUCAAUCCCUUGAUGAUGAUCCGCGCUUUCCAUGGCUUUGAAUUUCUCCUCGAGCCAUCUGCACCGUUCUUCCAAUUGUUUUUUGUGAAUCUAUCCUUGCCUUUUCUUCGUCAGCAACUUCAUCCAAAUCGGGAACGGGCGGAUAGUUCAGGUUGUUGACAAAGUUAAAGCCUGAACCGAUUUGAAAGUUCAUCGGUAUUGAAGCUCUGGCUUGAACCUGCUAGGGCAUGAUUGUGACAGAUGGUUUGGUGGAUUAAUCUCUGGCUUCAGCGGUACUUGUGUCAGAGUGAAGCCAAUGGGGUAUUGAGGAUCUUCAUUAGUUUCUUCAACUUUAUCCAUGGGGCCCUUUCCCUUAUCCGUUCCUCCCAAUAGCAAUUGGGAUAACUGACUCAUCAUUUCCCUUUGGGAUUCCAUCAUUUGUUCCUUCAUCUCUCGCUGAAUCUUGGCUAGCUGCUCUUGCAUCUGAAACUGCAUCUGAAACUACAGUUUUACAGUGAAGCCUCUAAUUUUUCUAUUAUUCUUUUCAUUUCUUCUAUCUUGCUCAAGCUUGCCCUUAAUUCUAUUGCGGUGUUGCGGUUUCGGUACUGAUGCAGAGAUUUCUCGAGUUCUGCCACUCUAGCUCUUAAUUCACCUCGCUCAUUUCUACUUUCCGACAGACUUUUCUCUAAAUCCUUGUUUCGUGCUUGAGCUUCUCAGAAUUUCUUUUCCCACUGGUCGGCAUUGGUUUUUUUUCUCUGAUUUCAUAGCGCCAUUGUUCGGAAGUCUUGCCUAACCCCGCAGUCCUCAUAAAUAGGCGCAGCAUCUUAUAGUCCGUCUUCAAGCUGUCUAGAUCUGCUUCAGCCUUGGUUUUCCCUUUUCUCCACUUUUCAGCCUCUGACCUCUGGACAUCAGCGUCUAAUCUUAAGUGCAUCUUUUGCUCCUCCAAUUGUUCGAUCUUCUUCCCAAGCUCCAAACUCUUCUUCUUGAAAUCUUGCCUUAUAAUCUCCAAUUCUGACGGGGCGACUUGUAAUUGUUCCCCCAUAGGUCAAGCAUUCUCCAAGCUUGGCCUAGAAACGUUAUCAUUAACCCUAUUCUUAAACUAUCCGUCAUACUCGGGUGUUACCAUGGAACCGACGGCCAACCUUUUCAUCCAACAAGUUUACUUCUAAACAUCCGAUAGCUCCCGAACUUUCUUCUUAUAGUGAGCACCUUUAAAAGAGAAUUCACUCUGAGCAAGUCCAUAAGUCGUGGGUACAAACUACCUCGAUUUAUAUUGUCCCAAGGCUAGCAAUAGAGUAUACCUGGUAGCUCCCCAAAUUCCUAACAACGGCACCCAAUCAAAGUUACCGCAUCGGUACAUGAUCUCAUCAGGAACCAUCCAAUAAGCUCUCCACUUGAUAUCCCCCUCCUUGAGGUUUUGAGGAAUUUUCAUCCACUUCUCCUCCGAGAUAUCCUCUGUCCUUUGUAUAGCUGCCUCCUCUUUCAGUGGGGAGUAACCUUCAGAAAAGAUCUGAUAAGAAACCUUGUCUACCUUUCAAAAGUGCCCAUGAAACCAUACUAUCAGUAAUUGUGCACAUCCAAUAAACCGCCAUUCGCCUGUCUUCCGACAUGAGCUCAAAGAUCUGAACGUUUCUGCCAAUAUCACUGGUACUGGUGUAAUUCCCUUCUCAAGGCAUUCAAAUAAGUCAACGACUGCCUCUUCUACGUGCCUCAACAUCUUAGGGAAAAUUACCAAUCCGUAGAUACUUAAUGCGAAGAUAUCGACCCUCUUUCUUUCAUCCGGAUGCGUCAAAAUCAAGUCUCGCAAAUUCUUCCAAGGGAUACAUUUACUAUCUCCUUUUUGCUGAAUCCGAGCAGUGACCCAAGGCUCGCUCAUCCCAGAAAUGCUCAUCAAUUUCUUCACAAAAGUCUGACUACUAAAAACCCGGGCAUAAGUCUUCCGGACCUGAAUUUUUAAACACCUGAGCAGUGUAGUGUAUUCCUCUAUGGUAGGUACUAAAUCCACUUCUCCAAAAGUGAAACACUUGUAAGCAGAAUUCCAAAACUGAACUAUAACCCGGAAUAGAUGCUUGUCCACUCUAAUGUCUAGCAAGUAGGAUAUAUCACCAUAGCUUAGGUAAAAGAACUGCUUGAUCCCUUUAUCCCAACUAGCCCAAAUGUCUCUAAACUCUUGCAGCUCAUUCUGUGCUACAUUGACGCGAGUGAAAUCCUGCAACUCGGAGAUAUAUCCUUCUGCCAAGCUAUCCCCUCUCUCUGAUUGUAGCUUCUCUGACCAUGCACAAACGACCGCAUUAUCCUCGACUUUACUAAGAAAUUCAUUCUCCAUGUCAAACUUUCUAAUUUAAUAAUUGAAUAUAGAUCAACACCUCCUUUAGUAUACAAUGUCAUGCAAAAUACAAUCAAAACAAAACACAGGUUAGUAUCAGAUAAUAGCGGUAAAAUGCAAGCACAUAAAUUACAACGUAUAUAUGGGUAAGUACUAAGGCUCGACGCGGCUCCACCCAAGGAUAGCUCCUAAGGUUCAUUAUAUGUGGUUCGGUUCUAGAGAUAAGGUACCUGAACCAGCGGAUUCCUCAAUCCUCACCCAUUAUAGGCUCAUAUAGAUUGAGUUUGGUUCAGGGGGAUACAUUUCCCUAUGACCAUACGGAGAUGAAAAUCUCACGAAAUCAUAGGUACAGAUGUAUCCCGGAAGCAAUCCAUUAGCCUAUGCGGAGGUGAAAACCUCACGAAAGCGUAGUUUCUUACUCCCACUUAGAAGGUGUGACCACAGCGGUCAUGCAAUGGAAUGUAGUACUAUUCUAUGAGAUCCGAACCAUAACAACCAUACAAACGAAUGCAAUCAUGAUUUUUAAAACAAGUUUUCGAUUUUUGACAGAAGGAUAGCAAAUAAUCGAUUUUAUGGCUAGACUUUCUUAAAGAGUCCCCAGUGGAGUCGCCAAGCUGUCGAAACCACCUUUUUAUUUAAAAUUUUUAUGUUUAAUGAAAAACGAGAAUCGACCUUUUGAAAAUAAAACAUGGAGUCGCCACCGAUCUUUUGUUUUGGUGUGAUCGGAUCACAUAAGAAUUUGGUUAUUUUAAUAAAACAUUUUUGGUUUACUAAAAUGACGAUUUUGGUCUACAAACUUUUGAGAAAAUGGGUUAGGGAGUCGGUUACGCAUGAGUAAGGAUUAGUACCCUCACUACGCCCAAAAUUGGUACCAAAUCGAUUAAAUAUUGUCCUUAUGUCUAAAAUUUAAAGAUGUUUUUUUGAAAUGUGGUUCUUUUUUUUAAGACUUGAGUAACCCGAGUUGGUUGCAAAAAAUCUUCUUGUUUCGACUUCCGAAAGCUUAUAAUCCAAAAAUUACAAAAUGGUGCCCAACUAUUUGGUCCAACGAAAAACCGAAACCCAGCACAGCAGGGCUCGAUUCCUCAAAUUUCCAAACACUGAACAUUGCCUCACCUUAGAAAACACGAGUGCAAUUCCGAAGAGAUAUUCGAUUAUUUUGAACAAACGGGAGAUUGCAACCCAGCACGAUAGGGCACUAUUCCCCGAAUUUCCAAACACCGGACAUUUCUUUCAUUUUAAAGGGUUUUUAGAAAACGUGAGUGAAAUUCUGAAGGAAUCUCCGAUUGUUUUGAACAAACGAAAAUGCGUAACCCAGCACGAUAGGGCACGAUUCUCGAAUCACCAAACAUCUAAGAUCACCUUCAUUUUGGGAGGUUUUUUAAUAAACAUGAGUGAAAACCUAAAGGAAUAUCCGAUUAUUUUGAACAAACGAGAAAUCACAACCCAGCACGAUAGGGUAUGACUCCCGAAUUAUCAAACACCGAGUAUUGCCUUCGUUUUAAAGGAUUUUUAGAAGACAUGAGUGAAAUUUUGGAGGGAUAUUCGAUUAUUUUGAGCAAACGCAAAAUUGCAACCCAGCACGUUAGGGCACGAUUCCGCGAAUUGCCAAAAUAUCAAAUCUCAUCUUCGUUUUAAAGAAUUUUUAAAUGAAUAAUUAUAAAACUAGAUUAAAAUGUAUUAAUGCGUUUUUGAAAUGAGAUGAAUUUAACCAUAAAAAUUUGGGUUUAAAAAAACCACAUUUCAUGAACUAAGUGGAAAACGAUGAUAUGGGGGAAUAUGUGUACGCACCAAAACACGACAACAGAAUAGUGGAGGCAAUACAAUUUACUUAACCAACUAACGAGAACUUAAAUGACUAAGCAUAACUAGUUUGGAAAUAUAACUCAAUUUCAACCAUGCAUGGAGAAUAAUUAACAUGACAAUAUGAAACAAAUGAAUAAAUAAUAUGCAACGAAAACAUACAUGGCAUAAUAAAAAUGAUUACUAUUAGAUGCACAAAACAAAAUGCAGAUCAAAUGAGCAAUAUGGUGUAAAACUAUUUUAAAACAAUGAUAAGUAUAUGACACAUACUAUAUGAAUUGAUGAAUUGAUAAGUAAAAAAAAACUUUUGUUAAUGGCAAGCUUAAUAAACACACGCAAUCAUUAGAAUAUAUAUAUAAUAUAAAAGAAUAAUAAUGAAGAUAUAUGACAAGAUAUAAUACACAAAAUAGAUUUAUAAAACAUAUGUACAUGUAAGUUUAUAAAAAAAAACAUGAGAUUAAUGUAGCGACAUAAAAAAUUUUGCUUUCGGUCGCUAGUUGAGUCGAUUUAUUGAAAAUUUGAAAAACGACUUUCGACUUUAUUAAAAAAAGUGAGUCGCCAUCGAUCCUUUUUCCUAGGUGUGAUCGGACACCUAAUAAAUCCUCUUCAUUUAAAAGGAAAUUCAUUUUUUAAACAAAAAAGAAGGCCGAAUUUAGGUCUACGUCGAAAAUCCAGAGAAAAAUAGGGUUCAAGAGUCGGUUACGCACAAGGAAGGUAUUAGCACCCUCGCGACGCCCAAAAUUGGUAUCUUUAUUAAACACGUGUUGUCUUGAUUUUCAAAAAUACGAAUUCAAUUUGACAUUUAACCGUGAUCUGAUUGAAAAAUGAGAAUUUGAAAUUUUGGUUUUUUAGAAGGACAUCCCAUUUUUAACACGAGCCAAUGAUAUCCACCUAACAUAGCGAUGGAAUCAGCGACUUAAUGUUGAAAUCGGUACGUUGCCUUAUUUAUUUUUGAAAUUAAUUAAAACAUAUAAAAAAAAUACCAUAUGCGAUAGGAAAUUGUAAACAAUGUAAGCGAUGAUACAAUUAAUGAAAAAUAUUAAAAUAUAAUAUUAGCAUAAAAAUAACAAUAAUAUUCACAAUAAGAAAAUAAUGUUCUAAUAAAAUCAUAAAAGAAAUAGAUUUGUGGUAAUGAUAAAAAUAUUAAUAUGGACACGAAAAAUACACACAUAUAUGUAUGUUAAUGAUGAUGGUAAUGAUAAUAAAAAUGACAAAUAUUAUGUAAUAUAUGUAACCAAACUUAUAAUUUAAGUAAAAAUGAUAAAAUAAUAAUGGAAUAAAUAUAGAUAGAUAUUAUAUGAAAUAAAAUAAUGAUACAGGAUAAUAGGAAAUUUCGAGAUUACUUAAAAGUGUGAGCGAAUAAAUAAUGAAAUAAAAUUAAAAUUAAUGUACUAUAUAAAACGCAAAUAUAUAUUAAAAAAAAGCUAUAAUAAUAAUAAUAGUAAUUAUUAAUAAAGUAAUAAUAAUAAAAAUAACAAUAGUAAUAUUAGUGAUAAAAAUAAUAGCUAUAAAAAUAAACAUAAUAAUGAUGACAAUAUAGAACAAUAAUAAUAAUAAUGAAAAUAAAAUAAUAUUAAUAAUAUUUUGUAUUACGAUGGUAAAGUAAUAACAAAGGUGAUAAUGAUAAUAAUAAUUAAUAAGUUAAAUUAAUUAGUAAUAAAGUAAUAAUUAAAUAAACAUGAAAAGGAAAGUGUAUAAAAUAAUAAUAAUAUUAAAAUAAGGUAAUUAAAAAUACUACUAUAUAAAUACAUAUAUAUACAUAUAUAACGAAAACAUUCACUAUAUUAACAAUGAUAAUAAUAAUAAUAGUAAUAAUAUUAAAAUACAAAAAAAUAAUAUAAUAUAAUAAGAAUAAUAAAAAAUACUAUAUAUAAAUAUAUAUACAUAAACAAAAAUAUACACUACUAUAUAAUAAUAAUAAUAAUAAUGAUAAUAAUAUUGAAAUACAAAAAAAAACAAAUAUAAUAAAAAUAUUAAAAUAAAGUAAUAAAAAUAAACCUAUAUGUAAAUAUAUAUACAUAUACAUAUAUACUAAAACAUAUACAAAUAUUGAUAAUAAUAAUGAUAAUAAUAAUAUUGAAACAUAAAAAGCAAAUAUAAUAUUAAUAAAAUAUUAAAAUAAAGUAAAUAAAAAUAAUAUUGAAUAUAAAUAUAUAUAUACGUAUAUAAUAAGAGUAUACACUAAUAUAUAAUAAUAAUAAUAAUAAUGAAAAGUAAUAAUAAUAUAUUAAAUAUGUUAAUUUAAUAUGUAAUGGAAAAUAACAAAAAAAAAGUAAAUUAAACCUACAAUGAAAGUUCAGGGCCAAUUUGUAAAUAAAUAAAGAAUAAAAACGAUCAAAUCGAACGCGCUAGCAAUAAAGAGGGACCAAACCUGAAAAUAAUCCUCCCUCUAAAACGCACAGCAUCGGGUAGGACUCCAUUGAAGUCCAGGCACAAAUUCGGGGCAAGAUUGAAAAAACGAAAAAUACUUGAUUGCAAAACAAUAAAAAUGUGGAAGGGCUAAAAACGCAAUUAGCCCUUCCUUAAAAAAAAGUGCGGAUCCUCAGUGGGCGGGUCGGAUCGGGUCGAUUCAGCCCCAAAACGACGUCGUUUUGGGGCUAUUCAGGACACCCUGAAACGGUGCCGUUUAAAAGGGCUAUAAAAGCAAAAAAUUUUUGAGAAGAAUUCAUUUCUGCUAUCUUUCUUAAAAAAAAACUUGGCUGUUCUCUCAAUCCCUCCCUCUCUCCCUCUAAUCGGACUCAAAGUCCGGCAAGCAAGCCGCCGUAUGUCGCCGCCGGUCACCAUCUCCGGCCACCGUUAAAAGGUAUAUAUUUUUAUCCCUUUUUUUUCUAUUUUCUUUGUAUUUAAUAUAUGUAUACAUAUGAGUAAGCAAAUUCGUAAAUAGAAAAAGAAACAAAAAUAAAUAAAUAGAGAGAAAAUAAUAAUAAUAAGAUAAUAUCACCUUUUGCUUUAGAUUUAGACUCUUGGUAUUUCAACUUCCCGAUUUGGGGUUAUUUUCCUUUUUUUGUGUUACUAAGAUCUUUGCUUUUCUCGUAUUUAAAAUCUAAUCCUUUUUUACCACUGUCGAACGUUUUUUAUACUUGCAUAGAAAAUAAAUUUUGCCGAAUCCUCUUUCUGAUUUCGGCUUGGCCUUUUAAAGCCAUGUUACAUGCAUUUUUUAGUAUUAUCUGUCCCUUCUCCUUUUGAUCUUUGCAUGCGAGUGGGUGGUGCUGACAUGGGCGGUGGAGCAGGUGGGGCAGGUGGUUGGUAUGAGGCGAUGGGAUGUCGGCUGAACUUAGGGGGCUAGGGUUUUUUCUUUUUCUGAUUUUGUUUGGGCUAGGGUUAGGUUAGGCUAUUGGGUUUGGGUCUAGUUGGGUUAAAUUUGUUGGGUUUGGGUAUUGGGUCCUAAUGGGUUGUUGGGUUUGAUUUGGUUUGGGUUCAGUAUUGGGUUUAAUUUUGUUGGGUUUAUUUUUGUAAAAGGCCCGGGCUAAUUUGGGCUUCUACAAUUAAUAAUGAGAUAUAUAUAAAUUUUUAAAAUAGUUUCAUAUAUACAUAAUUAUUAAAACAUAUAUUAUGGAAUAAAUAUUUUUAAUCAAAUAGCAUACAAAAUAUUGAGGAAUAUUAGCUAAAAACUAACAAUUUUCAUAAAAAAUUUAAAAUAUGUACCAAAGAUGAAAAGAUUACAAAAAAAAAUGUAUAAUAAAACAUAAUCUUAGAAACAUAAUGAAUUUACACAUCGCGCAUAUAUAUAUAACAUUAAAAGUAAUUAUUCGUAAAAGCAUGUAAUACAUACAAAAUUAACUUGAUUUUAUUGUAAGUUAUAUGAUAGAUUUAAAAGCAUACCUAUAUAGAAAGAAAACCAUACGCGUAGAAUACGCGAGUUUAAUAAUGUAUAGAUUAAAUGUGGUAUCCACAAUGCAUAUACAUAUAAUGAUAAUAACUUAAAAGAUAUUACAUAGGAUUAUAUGAUGCAAUACGAGAAUAAAUUUAAAAAGGAAUCAUGUGCGUAAAAUAAUAUAAGGUUGAUUAAUAUAUACAUGCAAUAAAAUUAAUUUUGAUACAAAGUAUAUAUAUAUAUAUAUAUUAAUAUUUAAAAGAGAUUGUAUAAGAAAAUUAAAAGAGUUUAAUGCAAAAAGAAAUUCGAAGUGGUUAUUUCAUAAAACAAAACAAAAUCAUGCAUGUACAAAUGUAUAUGUAUACAACAAAUAUAAUAUAUUAAAAAACAAGAUAUUGACAUGAUAAAAAUCUGAAAAUAAAGUAAUAAUAAUAAAAGGAUCAAUAUUCAAUGCGUGAAAACGCAUAGGGACUAAAACUGGCAAUAUACCAGAUACCAAAAUGUUACGUUUAGGCGCGGAUUAGAUUGCAAACAAAUGUAAAUUACAAGGAAAAAAUUAAAAAAAGGAAAAAAAGGAGCAGAUGGGCCGAUUUAAACGCAGUGCAAAAGGGGGGGAUUUAACUUGCAAAUAACCCCUCACCGCGAUGACGAGCGGAUCUUGAGAGUCAAAGAACCGGAUCGGGUCGGGCAGAAAGGGGGUGGCCUAGACGAUGUCGUUUGAGACCAUUGUUAUUGGUCUAAACGGUGUCGUUUCUACUACCAUAGAAAGGCUAAACCAUGCCUUCAUUCAGCCGAAACCCUAGAGUAACCCUGGCCUUUCUUUUUUUCCUUAGCCGAACCCUAAGUCACCGCCCUAAACCAACGAUUCCCAUCCCCCCAGGCACGAACCGCUCACCCAAGCCCGGAGGAUGAUUUUUAGCCUCAAAAUCUCCUCUUGGCCUCGACUUUAACAAAGCAGAAGGAGAUCUACGGCAUACCCCCGGUAAGGUUUCGUUUCUUGUUUCUUUUUUCUUUUAUGCACUCAAAACUCGAAAGAACGACUGAAGAUUUAGAAAUAAAUGAACUGGGCCAAGGAUAAAAGAAAAGCCUCAGAGAUUGGAAUCGGAAUCACCUUCGAAUGCUCGUUGCUUUUUUUGUAUAUUGCCUUUGUUUUUCGUUUUCUAUUGCUUCUGUAUGCGUAAAAAAUGGGAACCGAAUGUUCAAAAAAGAAAUAAAAGAAUACAAUUUUUGUUCUUUUUUCGUAUUGGCCAUUGUUGCUGCUGUCAUUUUGUCUGUUUCUUUGCAGGUACGGAGUGUGCAUUGGUGCUCGAGUACGGGGCUGUGCGUUGGCAUCGUACGGAGACUGUGCUGGCGCGGGCGUGGCUGCUAGACGGUACGGAGCAUACGACGCUGGGCUGGGGCUCGUCUGUGGUUGCGGCGCGAAAGUGAGGAGGAAGCUCUAGGGUUUCUUUUCUCAAAACACUGGGCCUAAUGGGCUAGUAAUUGAUAUUGGGCUGUAGGGCAUUGAUUAAUGACUGUUUUGUUUAUUUGGGUUUUAUGUUUAAGUUUGGGCUAUUGGGUUUGGGUUUAAGUUUGGGCCAUUGGGUUUGGUUUUAGGAUAUCUGUAAAUGGACAUUUAUUUAAUUAUUGGGUUUUUUACUAUUUGGUUUGAGGUUAAUGGGCCGGGCAAAUUUGGCCACUACAUUAUUAAUAGAUUUUAAAUUUUUUAUUUAUGAAUUUAAUAAAAUGUUAUAAUUUUUACUGAAAUGAAAUAUAUUAAAAAUAUUGUAAUAAAGUUCAUAUUUUGAUUUAUUUGUGAAAAUUAAAAAACUCAUCAAGUUUAUAUAAAAAUGUAAUUUUUAUUUUAAACAAACGAUAGAAUCAUUUUGUUGCACCAAAGUGCCUAUGUGCUGGGUCGGAUACCACACAAAAUUUUCCUAAAGCUCUUGCCCAAGAGUUAUUUAGGAUGAUGGGCUUUGAUUGAACUGUUAGCCCAAAAGGUUAUAUUAAUAUAUAUAUUAUAAUUAAAUUUAAAUAUUUUUUUAUUUUAAAUGUACGUACCAUUAUACUGAAACUCACAAUAAUAAUAAAUGUAAAUUAAAUUAGUCAUUUAACUACUAACUUUUUAUAAAUAAUGAUUUCGAUUUACAUGUCAAUCUAAGUCAUGCAAAAUGUCUAACGUACCAGCUUAUAUAACCAAAGAAAAGAGUUUAAUUUGUAGGGUAAGGGACACCAUUAAUCAAUAAAUUAUUAAUACAUUUUUAUUUUGGUCAUUGAACUACUUAAAAGUUUUCAUUUAAGUCAAAUUAGAAUGUUAAAAUAAAUGUUACAUGGCUUUUUUAGUUCGCAUUGUCUGCACUAAUCGAAAGCUCUUUUUUCUCAUUCUCUUCUACAAUUCAGUUUUUUUUUAUGAAACAAUUUUGGAUGUCACAAAUUUACGAACCAAAUUUUAAACAACUUUUCUCUCUGAUAUCCUACAUUGAUAUUCACACUGACUUGGAUCUAAAGUAUGUUCUUUUACUCGUCAAUGGAUACUAGUCCACAGUACUAAUCGUCGAAUCGUUGCUUGAAACUCAUUGGUGGAACUUUUAAAAAAAAAACUUAAUAACCUCGUGAUUUAAAUAAAAACUUUUGAAUAGUUUAGUAGCUUAAAUGAAAACUUUAAAAUAAUUCAAUAAUCAAAUUAUAAUUUUUUAAUUAAAUGACCAAAACAAAAAUUUACCCAUAAUUUAAUGACUAAUGGUGCAAUCUACACUAAUUUGUAUCACUAAAUUAUUUUAAGGGAUCGUGAGGUGUGGUGUGACAAUACUUGUUACAGAUAGGCAAAGUUUUCAUCAAAAUUUGAAAGAAACCUAGUGCACUAGUUAUAUAAGCUUUAGGGUAAAUUACAUCAAUUGUCUCUAAUCUUUGAUUAAAAUUAUAUUAUAGUCACUUAAUUUUUAAAAGUUAUAUAAUUGUCACUAAAAUUAUCGAAAUGUUACAUUUUAGCCAUUCAUCCGUUAAGAAGAUGAUAUGGCACAUUAAUUUAAAGGGUUUGUCCCUGAACAAUAAUUAAAAUAUCAAUUUGAUACUUUUAAAAUUUUUCUUAAUAAUAAUUCUAAAAAAUUAAAGGGUAAAUUACACAGAUAGUCACUUAAGUUUUAAUGCAUUCCUAUUUUGGUUACCAGAUUCUUUUUUGUUAAUUUAGUCACUUCCAUUAGAUUAAUUGUCAUUUUUAGUUACUCCAUCGUUAAAAUACAUUGGUACUGAACGGAAUGUUGAUGUGGCAAUCUUUUGAUUGGUGUAAUAACAAAUUUAACCCUUAACACUUUACACAUUCUAUCUACUUGGUCCUAUGUUGAAAAAAAUCAACAAAUUUAACUCAAUGUUUACACAUUUUUAUCAAUUUAGUCCAAAUUCAAAAAAUCCAAAAAUUUUAUAAUUUUAAAAACUUAAAAAAUAUAUAUAAUUUAUUAUAAAAAGACAUAAAACUAAAAAAUAAUUAAAAAUAUAUAUAAAAUUACUUGGUUAGGUUUUGAUGGUAGAUGAAAUAAUUUAUACUUUUCUUUGGCUGAUGCAAACUUGGUUUAUACCAAUGGGGGAAUAGGCUCCGCAAGUGAUGCUCACUGAUCAAAACAAUGCCAUAAAAGUAGUUGUAGUUGCUGUGUUUCCUGCUACACGACAUUUUUUCUGUGUUAUGGCAUGUCUUGGGUGACUAUUUAAGUAAUUUACCUUUUUUAGAAUUAUUAUUAAGAAAAAGUUUAAAAGUAUCAAUUUGAUAUUAUAGUUAUAGUUUAGGGGCUAAAUUGGUUAUUAAACCUUCAAAUUAACAUGUUUUGUCAUUAUCUUAAUGAAAGUUAACGGAUGAGUGACUAAAAUGUAAUAUUUCAAUAACUUCAGUGACAAUUAACUUUUCAAAGUUGGAUAAUUAAAAUAUAAUUUUAAUCAAAUGUUAGUGAUAAUUGAUGCAGUUUACUCUAAAUUUAUAUAUAUAUAAGCACCAUAUUAAUAGAGUUUAAUAAAUAUUCUUUUCGUAUAAUCAAAACCGGAUUAGAUUAGAUUAAUCAAUGGUUGAAUAGGUUACAUAUAUUCGGAAAUAAUGAAAAUUGUUUUGAACUGAAAAUUUGAGAGUUGAUAUGGGAUAUUGAGAUGAGGAGAAAAAGGAAGUUAUAUUUGUAUAAGAAAAAGUUUGAAAGUAUUCAAUCAUUUUUGUGAAAUAAUAUUGAACAAAUUUAUUAAUAAAAUUUGAACAUUCAUAAUGUUUUCUCAAAAUUACAAACUUCAUCACCAGACUAGCGUCGAUUUCUUGUGAAAAAGGGAUUAAUUAAAAAGUCAACAUGCUUCCUUUUAAUGAAAUCUUAAAAGAAUGAAUUAAUCAAACAGUAAAUUGUUGACCAAUAUUUUCCGGGAAGUAGCUUUCAGAUGCUUAAAAAGUAACAGUGUAUUUUACAAUAUUAUCAGGCUACAUGGCCUCACUUUGUAUUGAAUAUAUAUUAUAAACGAAAGCAAAGAACAAAAAUACAAAAUAAAUAAAGAAAAUUACUUAGUGCUUUAACUUAUUACAAAGGGAUUUGUCUCCUUAGUAUGUUUCUACCAUGGGAGAUCCCCACUUUUAUCCCAAAUAUCAGGUUAUCAUUACGUUGCCUUGGAGACAUCCUUACUUGACCUAUUGUACUUCAUAUGGCUCCUAACUAGUUGUCCUGCUGAAAUUGCAGACAUAAGCGACAGCUCCCCCGCAAGAACAGCAGACGCUACAAUGGUUGCCAGCGUCCUAGAGUUUGCUCCUGGUGUCUCUUUGCUUGCACCCUUCACUCCAAGUAAGUUCAAACAGGCUGAUUGAGAUGCAAGCUGAGUUCCACCACCAACAGUCCCAACCUAAAAGAUACAGCAACACAGAUAAUUAGGGACUAACAUAAAUACCCAGAUUUUGUUUUGGCAACGGAAGUCCUUGUGUUGGACAAUCAGACAGCAACACUAUCAAUUACCUCGAUGGAAGGCAUUGUGACAGAGACGUGGAGGUCCUUGCCAUCAUUAACAGCUUCCAUCAUCGUGAUGCAAUGCGAGCUCUCGACGUUUUGAGCCGGAUCUUGGCCGGUAGCUAUGUAGAUUGCAGCAACGAUGUUACUGGCGUGAGCGUUAAAUCCACCCAGAGCUCCAGCCAUAGCUGAUCCAGUAAGGUUCUUCAGCAUGUUAAGCUCAACGAGAGAUUCCACACUUGUCUUCAAGACCUUCCUAACCACAUCACCCUUAAUGGUGGCUUCACAGACAACAGAUUUGCCUCGUCCUUCAAUCCAAUUUACCGCAGCCGGUUUUUUGUCGGAACAAUAGUUUCCUAUAUGCAAAAAUUCAUAAAUAUCAGUGAUCCUAUGUCGGAUAGUAAAAGACAUAAUUGCAAGCCUAUACAAAAAAAUGAAACUCACCAGAGAUGCCAAUGACAUCCAUGUCAGGGAAAUCAGUCUGAAGGAAAUCCAAAACAUUUUGCACUCCCUUGGAAACCAUGUUCAUCCCCAUAGCAUCACCUGUACUGCAAGUGAAUCUAAUAUACAGAUUCUUUCCAGCAAUUGCACAUUUGAUACCCUGGAGCCUGCCAAAUCUACUUGAUCUGCAACCACCAAAAAGCCAAAUUUUCAAUAUUAGCUUGAAUUUUAAAUCAAUCAAUAUGGAGUUCUAGAAAUAUAAAAACAAACCUGUUGAAAACAACAGACAAGGUCUCGAAAUUAUCAGGGUCCUCCAAAUACAACUUCAAAUCAGCUGCCCUUUUCGCAUUACCGAACCUUACACAUGGAGCUCUAGUCAUACCAUCUUUCAAUAGAACACUUGUAGCUCCACCAGACAAAUGAAUAGCCUUACAGCCCCUAUUAGUGCUAGCCACCAAGCACCCUUCCGUGGUAGCCAUAGGAACCGAGUACUCUCUUCCAUUAACCAACAAAGGCCCGGCAAUUCCAACGGGAAUUUGCACGUAGCCAACCGGCAUCUCACAACACUGCCCUAGAAUCGACUCGUAAUCAAACCCAUCCAAGGGCAAUCCAGAUAACGACUUCCCUGUUAAUCUUUGCAACGCUUCCCGCCUGAUUGCAGCCGCCCUCUUGCAAUCACCCAAUUUCAAUUCCAAGGAAUACGAAGGGGUUGUACCAGCCACUACAGAUUUAAUUAUUUCUUCAUCUUCCUCCGUUAGAACCGUCACAGGCUUUUCAUCGAACACCUUCUGGACGGUCACGAUUGGUGCCGCAGGAGGCAGAGGUGGAAGCGAACAAUCGAGAGCUUGCCCGCAAGGGACCUUACGGGCAUCUUCCUUUGCAAGCAGAACUUCAUCAUCCUCUUCCUCGGCAAUCCAAACGUCAGGCGAUGGUUGGAAAACCAAAGAUUGAACGAAGUCAAUCCCAAAGAAACCCAAAAGGUAAAUAAAGGACGCGAAAAAUGAGAGAAUGGCGAUGAUCUCUGAAAAGGUGACGACAUGGAGAGGUGUGGAGGUACGGAUCUUCUCACGCCAACGGGAAAGAAGGAAAUAAACCACCGAGAAGAAGAGGGUGAAGAACAGGGCAUUCGUUAGGUACAAGGGAAGCGGCAGUGCGUCGGAGGCUUUACCGGUAUCUUCCUCUAAAGAAAUCUUCUUUGUUGGCUUGAGAGCUUGAACAGGUUUAGUAGAAGAUAGCCGGU